UCAAACACUGAACCAUGCUCUAGGAGGAUUUUAAUAUGUAGCUGCCAGCUGGUGAGCCUUGUGCUCCACACCUCCCUUGAGCCAUGUGCCUCACUUCAUCAUUGUUUGACUUUGGACCUGACAUGUUGAGCAAAUUAGGGAGGCAUUUCAGCUAUGGAAGUCAAAAAGGAGCAAAACAUGGCAUGCUUAAUUAUGGGGAUCUUGUCUGCACAAAUAAAGGACCAUUUUCCAGGAAUUCUGGUAGGCUACACAUGGGAGACAAAUCAGUAUGGGAAGUCAAAAAGAUGAACAAAAGUCAAGCUUUCCAUAAAGAAACCAAGAAAAGUCCACCAAAGCAUUUAUUGGGCAGCUGGGAAAGUUGGCAUUUAUUGGGCAGCUUAGGCAAUUGGGAGCAGCUAAGAGAGGUGUGUUUCACCAGCCAAAGGGGAGCACGAAAUUGCACUCUAUAAAUAGAGAGUUGCACACUCAUUCAAAGGGAGAGAGCAGACACACACAUUCACUUCAUCCAUUACUCUCAUACACACAUUCAGAUUCACCACAAAGAGAGAAGGGAGCUUGGAGCUGUCAAGGGAGCUUGGAGCUGUCCUGGGAACUUCCUUGCUGCCAUCAUCUAGUUCUUCUCCUCUCUUUAUCCUAUCUAUGUAUUUCUUAUUUUCUGUGUUCAUAGUUAUGUCUAACUAAUCCAUUUAGUUAGGGCUUAGGAUGAAGCCCUAGUCAUGAAUAUUCAAUGUUAUGGAUGAUUUUAUAGUUAAUUGAUUUCCUUGCUUUUAUUAUCAAGUUGUUAAUCUCCAGUUUAUUAUGUGCUUGAUGUAUGUUUUCUUGGAGUAGUUAACUAGGAUUUUAUGCAUCUAGCACAGGUUGGGAAGGGGUUUAGAUUCACCAAUUCUACUCUCCUUUCACAAGCAACACAUGAAUGGCCUAAGAAUCAUUCAAGGGGUUAACAACCAUAGGUUGACUAGGACAGAUACCAUGUUCUAGGACUUGUGUGAUUAUCAUAUUCUCAAGGAGCUUAAUGACUCUUGUAUGCUUUAUUCUAAGUAGAUACCAUGCUUAGGUUGCAUAUUAGAGAUCACGUACUGUGUAGAUACCAUGCACAAUCACAUGCCUUAGGAGAAUGAUGCAUCCUGCACCUAGAUACCAUAGGCUUGUAUGCGAUAAUCUAUUGUUGAUGAAGCUUGAGUCAAUUUCUAUGCAUUCAUAACUUGGAUAGGAAGACUAGUGGCAGAUUCCAAGGCUCUAACACCUCUCAAUCAUUGUUUCACAACUUGUUGAUUGCUGCUAGUGUUUACUUUCGAGCACUUUCAUUUCACUUUCUUGUUUUCAUUUCAACAACAAAAUCCCCCAUUUCGAGUGCGUGUGUGGUGCUAGGAUUCUGUCCUAGACCUUGAGUAAUUAGCAAGAGGCAUUGUUGAAUUCGACCUUGCCUUUAGCUAGUUAGUCAGUUUCUUUGUUCUUUGUUUUUCUAGCAUUCUAAGUAAUUUAACUUGGAACCAAGUUACCAUUCUCCGUGGGAUCGACCUCGUAUUUACAUAAGCUAUACUAUAAACGGUUCGUGCACUUGCGAGAAUUAAAGUUGCUAUUUUUAAUAACUCAUUUUAGUUGUUAAGAAUUGGCGCAACAUGACUUCUCAUUGUCCUCCGAGGGUCGACCUUCUCGCCUGUGCUGCCUAGUUGGAGUGUUGGUGGACUGCGCUUAUGAAAGAUUCUCUGUAGCUUGUCGACGAGAAUUGGUUCUUCGAGAGUGAGUAACGGAGCGUCUUUCCUCAUGGUCCUCAUUGUGAGGGUUGUCCAACUGGCCUCCCUGGGGGCCUAGCCUUUCGAGAGUGCUUCUCUGUGAGUUGACAGCUGAGCGCCUUUCUUCGCGAUCCUCGUUGCGAUGGUUGUUUGGCUGACCUCCUUGGGGGCCUAGCCUUUGAUGUACAUUUCCCUACGAGCCCAAGCAGGCACGGAUGUCGAGUCGUCUACCGGCGUGUUCAUCCAUCCUUCUCUCCUCGCUUGGUUGUCCAAGGCCAAGGUUUUGAGCAAAGCCUAUUUGGUUGAUGAGCUGCCUCAUUAGAUUGCUUUGGUCGUCCAUUCUAUGAGCUAGCUGGUCAACUCUUAGAUUAAGGUCUGCUUGACUUCGUGGAUCGGGAGGAGAGAAGUGUGUGGAGCCCAAUUGCACACGGGCUAGGUUUUCACUGAAGGUGUAUGCAGGAGCGUGGGUCACGCGUGGAGGCAAUGGAGGGAAUGCUUGGAGUUGCUCCAAGACCGGCCCUAGGUCGGCAGUGGUAACGAGUCCACCUUGAUGGGAAGUUCCGUCAUGUUCGGCGGCGAUGGCCGAUGCGGUGGUGAGAGGUGGCGGUGCCACCAUGUCGAUCGCGGGAUCGUGGGUGGAGUGGCUUUGGGUCGUCGCGGAUCUAGCCAUCGCGGCGGCUUUGCCUCUCGUGUUCAUGCUUCCAACCAUGGUUGUUUGGAAGGCUUCGGUGGAUUGGAAAAUAGGAGGAACGGAUUCCUUGAGCACGCGUUGAGUAUACCUCGUGCUCUCAAUGAAAGCACCAAUUUGAGGGAGCAAAUUUCCCCACGAGAAUAUUCCCCCAAAAUUCCUUCGUCUUCUCCGCCUCUCUUUCUCCUUGCAAAACAGAUCGGAGUAAAAGACCACACUCGGGGGGGGGGGGGGGGGGGGGGUCCAAUGCCUAAGUUAGGUAUGGUAAUUCAAGGAAAACCAGGUGGCCGGAGCCUUGAGUGAGAGAGAGAAAGGGAGGAGGUGGCUAGGGUUUUUGAGAAAUAAUUUCUGCAGAGCUUUAGUAAGAAUUUAGGCGUACCUCAACCAUUGUGUGUGGCUAUGCUUUUAUAGUAGUCUCGGAGGCUAGGGUUUCAGAGGAAUAAUUCCGUAGAUGGAAGGGAAUUAUUCCUCCCCUUUUUGGAAUUGAUUUGAUUAAUUAGGGAUUUGAUUAAUUAGGGUAAAUCAAAUCCCUAAUUGUGGUAGGUAUCAAAUCAAAUCCUGAUUCAAUUAGGUAACUCCUCAUUUAAUUGGGAAUCGUGGUAAUUAACCAAACCAAUUCUCAACUUAAUUAGGUAACGUUUAAUUUAAUUGGGUAAUUCCCAAUUAAAUUGAGUAACUCCCAAUUAGGUUGAUUAAUUCCCAAUUGGGUCAAAUAAUCCCCAAAUAGUAGGAAUUAUUUGACCUAGGGUUUGAUUUAAUUAGGCUCCCACAACCUUAUGCAGCAGGUUACCAGGUGUGCCCUUCAGCAUGUCUUUCGUAAGAAGAAUAUUGUUGCUGACCGUUUGGCUAAUUGGAGUUAUCAAGUGGAUCUUGGGUUGUGCGUGUUUGAGCAGGCCCCUAGUUGGUUAAGUGCUUAUCUUGUUGAUGAUCUGCUUGGAAUUGUUCAUUCUAGAUUAGUCUGUUUAGACCAGUUUGUGUAGUCUGGUUCUUGGGACUUUGACUCCAUACUUAGUCCAAAAAAAAAAAUAUAUAGAAAAAAGAAAAAAGCAGUCCGUCCACAGCAGAAAAUUCCUCGCAAUAUCUCCUUGCCUUGACGUCAACCAUGCACUCCCCCUUCCAAUAUUCAAUUGUUUUAUUUAUUUGAAAUCUCCAAUUAGUCCUCAUCAAAAAUCACAAGAAGAUUAGUCCCGUCUCUGUCAAUAUGUGUGUGGCUUUUUUUUUUACUCAUAUCAUGAUAUAUCAACGAUUUCCAUAAUCUUCGUCCGUGCUAGUAAAUAAUAUUGAUGUCACUCCGAGUUAAAUAUAUUUCUAAUAGUAGGAUUAUUUGACUAGGGUUUGAUUUAAUUAGGCUCCCACACCUUAUGCAGCAGGUUACCAGGUGUGCCCUUCAGCAUGUCUUUCGUAAGAAGAAUAUUGUUGCUGACCGUUUGGCUAAUUGGAGUUAUCAAGUGGAUCUUGGGUUGUGCGUGUUUGAGCAGGCCCCUAGUUGGUUAAGUGCUUAUCUUGUUGAUGAUCUGCUUGGAAUUGUUCAUUCUAGAUUAGUCUGUUUAGACCAGUUUGUGUAGUCUGGUUCUUGGGACUUUGACUCCAUACUUAGUCCAAAAAAAAAAAUAUAUAGAAAAAAGAAAAAAGCAGUCCGUCCACAGCAGAAAAUUCCUCGCAAUAUCUCCUUGCCUUGACGUCAACCAUGCACUCCCCCUUCCAAUAUUCAAUUGUUUUAUUUAUUUGAAAUCUCCAAUUAGUCCUCAUCAAAAAUCACAAGAAGAUUAGUCCCGUCUCUGUCAAUAUGUGUGUGGCUUUUUUUUUUACUCAUAUCAUGAUAUAUCAACGAUUUCCAUAAUCUUCGUCCGUGCUAGUAAAUAAUAUUGAUGUCACUCCGAGUUAAAUAUAUUUUCUGAAUCACGUCAAAAAAAUUACUUGUAACCAUAUUUAUUAUUGUAACCUCAAUUAUUGAGGAAUGUAUUGGUGUUGUAUAGGGUUGACACAAAUUGUUAAUUGGAAGUGGGAGAGGAGACUAAUUUUUUGUUUUUUUUUUAAUGAGAAAAACUUUAGGAGGAGGGGAGGCUCUCCCAUCUCAAGGUGAAGACACCAAGGUAUUUUUGAGGACUUACGAAAGGAGACUAAUUUCAAUACAUUGAUAGUUAAUUUAUAUUUUGCUUUAGGUUUAGAAGUUCGAUCAAAACUACAUGCUUUUUCUUUUGUGGAAUUUUCCUUUCCUUUGACCUAGAUUACGCAGUAGUUAACACAAAUGCUAAUGGAUGUGGCCAACGCUUAAUCUGGUUGCAGAAAGAAAAAGCAAUAGAGAGAAGAAAGUUGGUCCUCAACCACUCCUGUUUCAAUCAAUGGUUUAAUAUUCAAUCAAUCCUCAAAAGUCAAAAUCAGUACCAGUCCAGUCUCCAUCUUCAUUUUAAUCAAAACAGUGUGAAAUGGUCAAAGAAGUAUUUUGAUGAAUUGGAAUUGGCAGGAUUUGGUCAAGCAGUGAAUUCUUACAUUGUCCCACUAGUAGAAAUAAAUUACAUUUUCUUUUUUAUGUAUUAUGCUCUCUUUUUUUCCCUUUUUUUUUCUUUUUUAUCAACACGGCAAGAGAAUAAAAAGUAUAUAAACACAGUUUUGAUUUGACCAACAAUAAUGUACAAACAGAAUGGCGCCAUUAAUGUUCUCCUUCAGAUUUAUGUUCUUCCUUUCUCCCGUUUUGUUCCUCAUGAUCAGCACUCAAUCUAUAAGCCCAUGGUGUUACAACGAUAAAGGCAACUACACCACCAACAGUACAUACCAGACAAACCUCAACACCCUUCUCUCUUCUCUUUUUUCCCCCUCCAACAACGGUAAUGGCUACGGCUUCUACAACUCAUCCUACGGGGAAAACCCCGACCAGGUUUACGCAAUCGGGCUAUGUCGAGGGGAUGUCACGGUGGACAUUUGCCGUGACUGCCUCAGCAAAGGCACACAACAGCUCACACAGGUCUGUCCCAAUCAAAAGGAAGCUUUCGGCGUAUUUGACCUGUGCACGCUUCACUACGCCAACCGCUCCAUCUACGGAGCCAUUGAAACUUUCCCUGCUUUCCGGUGGUAUAACGUACAGAACGUGUCCAACGUCGACGGGUUUUUUCAAGAGCUGAGGACGCUACUGGAUGCCCUAAGGGGUCAAGCUGCAGGGAACGGUUCACUUCGAAAAUUUGCGGUAGGGACCGCAACCGCUCCCAACUUCCAAACAAUCUAUGGACUUGCGCAGUGUAGGCCGGAUUUGACCGAGCAGAACUGCAUUUAUUGCUUGGGUAGUUCUAUGGCAGAUAUCCCAGAAUAUUUUCCGGGGAAGGAAGGUGGUCUUAUUAGUAAACCCAGCUGUGAUCUUAGGUAUGAGAUCUAUCCCAUCGUUGACCGUACAACUGUCCGACCAUUGCCGUCUUCUUCACCGCCACUGUCUAGUCCUCCUCCCCCGUCAACCAGUACAGGAGGUACAUACAUAUAUAUAUAUAUAUAUAUAUUUACAUCCCAGUAUAUUAUGCUUUGAAGAAAUAAAGUUGGCUUAACUAGAGCAAUUGUCCAGGAAUUUGUAGAUGAGUUACAUUUUAGUCAUUCAAUUCAAUUUUUAGUUGAUGUAGUUGUCUCGUGUACAAGUUGAGGGACCAUUAAUUGCUACCAUUGACACUACAACAAUUUUGGGUCGAAUAGAGUUCAUAUACAGAUGUAUGUAUGUAUUCAAAUUAAUGCAAAUGAGAUUUUUGUUUUUUGCAGGAUCGAAGAGUAACAGAUCUCAGAUUGUCAUCAUUAUUGUUGUGCCAAUUGUUGUUUCUGUGGUAGUGAUAGUUAUAUUCUUCUGCAUUUGUUUAAGAGUAAGGAGGACAAAGAAAAAACUUGAAACUGGGCAAGGAGAUUUAAACUGGAAAAGAUAUAGCUGUUAAAAGGCUCUCUACAAAUUCUGGGCAAGGAGAUUUAGAAUUCAAAAAUGAGGUCUUGUUAGUGGCUAAACUUCAACACCGGAAUUUAGUUAGACUCUUAGGUUUCUGCUUAGAAGGAAGGGAAAGGCUUCUUGUCUAUGAAUUUGUCCCUAAUGCAAGUCUCGAUCACAUCAUAUUUGGUAUGUCUGGAAUUAUGCAUUGUUUUCGUUUAACUUCGAAUGUUUAUUAUAAAAUUCCAAUUGUGUGACUUGUAUGCAAGCAAACAUUGUAAUUGAAGUCUUGAUUUUGCAUUAAUAUAUUUGCAGACCCAACAAAGCGUGCACAACUAGAUUGGGUGAGGCGCUACAAAAUCGUAGUAGGCAUUGCUCGAGGCCUCCUUUACCUCCACGAAGACUCUCGCCUUAAAAUUAUUCAUCGUGAUCUCAAAGCUAGUAACAUCUUGAUAGAUGCAGAAAUGAACUCCAAAAUUUCAGAUUUUGGCAUGGCAAGGUUGUUCGUUCUUGAUCAAACGCAAGGCAAUACUAGUCGGAUUGUUGGGACCUUGUAAGAAUAUGCACUUAACUGCCUGUGGGCUUAUGUUUGUUAUGUCAACAAUUUCCUUUCCAUAUGUGUUGGUGAACGCGGACAUUAUUUUUGUUGAUAUGCAGUGGGUAUAUGGCUCCAGAGUAUGCAAUGCAUGGGCACUUUUCUGUUAAGUCCGAUGUCUACAGUUUUGGUGUGUUAGUUCUAGAGAUAGUCAGUGGACAAAAAAAUAGUGGCUUCAGGCAUGGAGAAAAUGCGGAGGAUCUUCUAAGCUUCGUAAGUAAAAAUAUAAUAUAGUUUUGGUAUCUCAAUACAAUUUAGUGCAACGAAUCAAAGAAAGAAAACUUAUCUCUGAUUAAAUUCACAAAUCAUUGCAGGCCUGGAGAAGUUGGAGGGAAGGGACAGCUUCAAAUCUAAUAGAUCCCACAUUGAACACUGGUUCAAGAAAUGAAAUAAUGAGAUGCAUCCACAUUGGAUUAUUAUGUGUGCAAGAAAAUGUAGCUGAUAGGCCAACCAUGGCUUCUGUUAUUCUCAUGAUGAAUAGCUACUCCUUCACUCUCCCAGUGCCCUCCCAACCUGCAUUUUAUUUGCAUAGAAGCAUUGGAUUGGACAUGUCGUUAUGAUCUGAAUAUAAUUCAGGGGCAACAAGGUCAGAUCGAUCCAAGAGUAACUCUGUCAUGGUAAUGGAAUAUGAGACUUUUACUGAACCACAUCCUCGCUAGUGGUUGAAGAUCGAUCCAAGUCUGUUGAUUUGUGGAGAAAACUAUCCAAGUGUGUUGAUUUUCAGGAUCUGGAUCAAUGUGAAUCAAACCAGAGUGUAAUUUAUUAUAUUUUUAUGACAAUUCUGUAUAAUGAAUAUCCUGUUUUUGAUGAUUCAUGCAUAUAGAAUAAUAUUGCUGAUGAGCUCCCGUUCAACCAUUCCUUUAGCAGCUGUUUUGUUGCCGGUGUUGCCUGAUGAGUCAUCAUUCAGGCUGAGGCAUGGGCUGGUCUUGUUCAUUGUGGGAUGCUUCGCUUCCUGGAACAUUCCAGCAACUAACAAGUCAUCAUUCAGGCUGGGGCAUGGGCUGGUCUUGUUCAUUAUGGGAUGCUUCACUUCCUGAAACAGUCCAGCAACUAACAAGCACAUAUCCUUGAUCUACUAUGUCCUUUUUUUCAUUGUUAGUAUCUAAGAUAAUGUAAAAUAUCAGAGACCCUAUAUGAAAAGUUAUUAUUUUAUUACUGUGUAGACUGCCUAUGUUAAUAUAUAAAGAGUCAAGGUAAUUAUCAACAUCGGGGAAACUCAUGGUGGGUGAGGGCCGUAGAGCGGAAUGGAGAGGACGGUGGUGGGUAGGGCUAAGUUGGAUCGGAAUGGAACCAAUUGGUAUCUGUGAAGUUGGUCCAGAUCUGAGAACCCGUAGCUCAUCGAUGAGCGUUUGUUGGAUGGUGGCUUUCUGCGUUUGAUGAAGCGUCAUGGGCUGGAGGGUAUUUUGAAUGGAGGUGACGUCAGUGUGGAGGCCAUGUUGUUGUUCUGCCAUCAGCUCCACCGUAUCAUGGAAGUCAUUGAGUUGGGUGAUGAUUUGUUCUUGCUGCAUUUCAAGCUCCAGAUUGGUGUCAGCAAGCUCCGGCGCUGGGGCGGAGGCAGAAGCUUUGCUUUUGCCCAUGGGAAAACAUGGUCAAUAGAUACCUUUUCACAAAGGCAUGAUGCAUGCAUGCAGUGGCGGAUCCAGAAAUUUUUCAGAGAUUGCUGCGAGAACAUCGAGCCCUCUUAAUCCAAAAUUCUAAUACAAUCGAGCCCUCUCAAUCUAAAAUUCUAAUUCCUAGUUGAUUAAUUAGUAAUUACAUUUGAACAGUGGAUGGUAGUAAUGGUUUAAGGCUGCUAAACUUGGAUUGGACGAUCGUCUUCUAUAGAAGGUAAGGCUUUUUCUUCACUACGUUGUUUUAUUUUUAUUUUUAAACUCCGGUCCAAAACGACGUCGUUUUGGCCAGAGCUUAUUUUUUUUAAAAAAAAAAAUAGAUCGCGCUGUGUGUUGUUGGCACAGCAAACUGAGAAAACAUCUUUGAGGCAUUAUGACGAGCACAUGGUGGGCACACCAGCAGAGGGGCAGUUUCCAGCUUCUUCCAUGGCUUUCUGGCAAGGGGAGGUGCAGCUACCACUACUACGAUUUACUAUUUGCGCGACGAAUAUUUUUUCGUCGCGCAAAAAGCACUAUUGCGACGGAAAAAAAAUUCCGUCGCGCAAACCAACUAUGCGCGACCUAAAUUAAUUUCGUCGUGCAAAGGUAGGGGAUAAAAACCCGGUUUUUUUUUUUGGCGCCAAAAUCUUGCGCAACGACAAAAUCGUCGCGCAUGACAAUAUUGCGCGACAAUUCAAAGCAUUCGUCGCGUAAAGAUGGACAAGAAAAUUGGCUCCUUUUUUGGUGGUAAAAAAUUUGCGCGACGAGAGUUUCGUUCUCAAAAGAAAACUUAGCGCGAUGGAAAAUGUACGGUCGCGGUAGAAAACGAGGAUACUUAUGGAAAAAUGUACCGCCGCAUAAGAAAAUUCGGGAUACUUAUUUUUGGCGCCAAAAUGCAGGGUGGGUAAAUUUUUUUUGCGCGACGGAAUUACCUUCGUCGCGUAAAGUGUAAUGCCGGUGCGUUCUUGCGCGACGGAAUUUAAACUUUGCGCGACGAAAAAUAUUAUUUGCGCGACGAAAUUGUGCGACGAANNNNNNNNNNNNNNNNNNNNNNNNNNNNNNNNNNNNNNNNNNNNNNNNNNNNNNNNNNNNNNNNNNNNNNNNNNNNNNNNNNNNNNNNNNNNNNNNNNNNNNNNNNNNNNNNNNNNNNNNNNNNNNNNNNNNNNNNNNNNNNNNNNNUUAGUAUCUGCCAUUGCAGAGGCAGAAUGCAAAAAUUGCAUGCUGCCUCUCUCUCACUCUCCUGCCGCUGCUCUGCUGUGAAUUCAGUACGUUCAUUGGGUAUGUAUUUUUUGUUGUUAGUUUAAAUGUAUUAAUGUAAAUUCGUACUAACGCUAUUAAAUUUGUUCUCGUUAGGGAUAUUUGUGAUUAGUGAUUGGUGGAGAACGAUUGAGAAGGUAUGUUAUUGUAAAAGUUUAUUUGUUAUGUUUGUAAUUUUUUUGUGAAGUUAUAUGUGUAUAAUGUUGUGCGUGACGUAGCACAAUGUGUUGUGAUGUACGAAGUUAAUUGAAAUUAACUUCGUACUUUUAUUUUUAUGUUUAGUAACACGUAGUUUCCCGUUCGAGAUUAGUUGGAUUUCGUGCAUGGAUGCGUAAGGCAUGACUGCGGUCCAAUUAAUUCUUGAAUUGUCCCAUUAUUUGGACAGUUUGGUAAUGCAUAGUGUUGUCACAUAAUCUCCGGCUACAGGAUUAGGUUUCGAUUGUGGAGAUUUUGGUGUCAUCUCGGUACGUUCUUCGGGUGGUACGUAGGUAUUUAUACCUAUGCCCACUUCAAGAACUGUGUCGAGAUGCUGCCGAAAUUAAUCCACGUCGAAAUCUAAUCUCAUGUAGCCGUAGGUUACGUGACAGGACUAUGCAUUCCCGAAUGGGAUAGGGGCCUUACCGGAGGCAUAAGGUGACAUUAUAACUUCGUAUGAAGUUGUUGUGAUUGUUGCGUCGUGAUUGUAGUUUCAUGAAUUAUGAGCAGAAGGUGGAUACAGAACCCGAAUAGAUGCGCAGACGAAUACUUGGAUGGAAUCGAGGAUUUUAUUGAGUUUGCACGUAGACACAACCCGGGUGCAACUAGAAUCCGUUGUCCUUGUAGGAGGUGUAACAACACGUUGUGGGAGACAAUUGAAAAUGUUGGAUUUCAUUUAGUAAGGAAUGGAAUGAUUGAAACAUAUAGCAUUUGGAACCUUCACGGCGAACAAGUAGACCAUGCUUCGUCUUCAAAUGCCCCAAGAGUGGACAAUGUUGAACCUAUUGUGGAUCCUAAUGAUCAAGUCAUGGGUAUUAUACAGGAUGCUUUUCCAUUCGCAUCGACCAACAUCAAUCAGGAAGGGAAAGAUAACGUGCCUAAACCAAUAGACAGUGCAGAGUUUGAAUAGUAUGAAAAACUGUUACAAAAUGCCAACCAAGAGUUAUACCCGGGGUGCGAGAGCUUUUCCGUUCUCACUGCCAUUGUGGAGCUAAUGCACGGAAAAAUAAAGUAUCGUAUGUCGAACUUGUGUUUCGAUUACUUUUUGGGGGUUUUCAAGAGAAUGCUUCCGACGGACAAUUGUUUGCCGAAAGACCAUAAACAUGCACAGAAGGUGUUGCAUGGUCUUGGAUUGGGUUAUGAAAAAAUCCACGCUUGCAAAAACAAUUGCAUGUUAUUCUACAAAGAGCAUGAAACGUUGGAUACAUGCCCUAUAUGCAAUGAGUCGAGGUUCAAAAUGACAUCCCAGAAUAGAACGACUAAGAUACCACAAAAAGUCAUGCGUUAUCUGCCCCUUAAACCUAGGUUGCAGCGAUUGUAUAUGUCGAUGCAUACUGCCACAGACAUGAGAUGGCAUAAGGAAAAACGGGUAGACGAUGAUGUGAUGUGGCAUCCUGCAGAUGGGGAGGCAUGGAAAGAGUUCGAUUGAACGUUCCCCGAGUUUGCUGCUGAUCCCCGAAAUGUUAGAUUGGGACUUGCCACUGACAGAUUCAAUCCGUAUGGGGUUCUAAACCAACACCACAGCACUUGGCCGAUUUUCGCAUUCCCAUAUAAUUUUCCGCCUUGGAAAUGCAUGAAAAAAGAAUACAUGAUGAUGACUGUUUUGAUAACUGAGGAUCCUGGCAGGUCAAUUGAUGUGUACUUAAGGCCUCUGGUUGAUGAGCUGAAGGAUUUAUGGACAAACGGUGUUCGCACGUACGAUAAAUCAACUGGGAGGAUGUUCACUUUGCGAGCAGCAGUUAUGUGGACUGUGAAUGAUUUUCCAGCAUAUGCAAUGGUUUCUGGGUUGAGCACAAAGAGUUAUAUGGCAUGUCCUGUAUGCAAGGAAGAUGUAACUUCUGGUUGGCACGCGGGAAAAGUUUGUUACCUUGGUCAUCGGAGAUGGUUGCUAUGGGACCACGAGUGGCGAGAAAAAGAUAAAGAGUUCGACGGGAACACAGAGCGUCGCCUCAGACCUAGAGAAUGGUCCGGUGAUGAGAUCUUGGAACAGCUGAACCGUUUGGAUUUUGCUCCGUUCGGGAAAACAGUUAGUCGGACCAGACCUUCUACACAUUUGAACUGGACGCACAAGCCUAUGUUUUUUGAGCUCCCAUAUUGGUCGAAACUGAAAUUGAGGCACAAUCUAGAUGUGAUGCAUGUUGAGAAAAAUGUAUUCGACACAUUGGUGGGCACGAUUCUUGAUAUCGAGGGGAAGACGAAGGACACGAUCAAAGCUCGUCUUGAUUUGGAAAGAAUGGGCAUACAAAGGGGUUUAUGGAUGAAUAGGGACAGUGAUAAAGCUAGAAGGGAUCUUGCAUUCUUUUCUAUGAAACCGAAUGACAAAAAAGAGUUUCUAAAGUUUGUAUCGUUUGUCAAAUUUCCCGAUGGGUAUGCUUCUAAUAUCGCACGUUGCGUGAAUAUCGAUGGGGGUAAAUUUACUGGACUUAAGAGCCAUGACUGCCAUGUGUUUAUGCAACGCCUACUUCCUGUGGGUAUUCGACACCUACUGCCGGAAGAUGUGGUGAAGCCAAUCAUGUUGUUAUCCAGAUUUUUUUCCCAACUGACGGCAAAAACAUUGCGAAGGACAGACAUGUUUCAGUUGCGCCAUGACAUUGUCCAAGUCCUAUGCAAGUUUGAGAUGAUAUUUCCUUCAGCUUUCUUUACAAGUAUGAUGCACGUGAUGGUUCACUUGCCAGAAGAGGCAUUGCUUGCUGGUCCUGUCAACUAUUGCUGGAUGUAUCCAAUAGAAAGGUAUAUAAUCUUUAUCAUUUGUGUAUGCAUCAUUAUCGACACUUUGCUAAUUUGUAUCAUAUCGUUUUAUUUUGGCAGGCUUCUCGGAGAGCUGAAAAAAAGUGUACGCAACAGGACAAAGCCCGAAGGAUCAAUUAUAGAGGCUUGGGUUCAAUAUGAGUCGCUUACUUUCUGUGGAAUGUAUUUAAAAGAUGUGGAGAUGGUUUUCAAUCGUCCUCAACGCAAUAAUGACGGAGGUAUGAGAAAUGAAAAACUUUCUGUUUUUGCCCAAAGCGCACGACCAUUUGGAGAUCCUGGACGAGGAGAGUCGUUUUCUAGAAAUGACAUGGAGGUAGCGCAUUGGUUCGUACUGAACAAUUGUGAUGAGAUAAUGGCCUACUUAGAUGAGCAUGAACAGAUGAUGAAGCGAGAACAUCCAUCACAUUUGGUUGCCCGGAAAAACCGUGAAUUAUUUCCACAAUGGUUUUUGGAUUCUGUAAGUUAUAAGUGUUUUGUAAUUGACAAAUAUAAAUUGUAGUAUUUAAUUUUGUCAGACUAACAUGUAAAUGGUUUUGUAUACUAUUAGGUGAAUAAAUUGAAAUCAUCGAAUUCCCCCACUUACAGUGAUGAGUUAUAUAACUUGGCGUUCGGCCCAAUUCGCGCUGAAUUGUUCUCGGGUUGUAAUGUUAACGGUGUUAAAUUUUUGGGGGCCGCACGAGAUGACAAGUUGUGUACGCAAAACAGCGGUGUCCAUGUCCCAGGUGGAGGCGAAAGUACGGACAUUGAUUUCUAUGGCAAACUGACAACUGUUGUGCAAUUGCUUUACAAAGAUCGAUACCAAGUCAUCAUGUUUAAGUGUCGAUGGUUCGAUACCAACCCAAAUAGGGCGAGAAGUGUUAAAAUCGACCAUGGAGUACUGUUUGUGAACAUUAACAGAACUUGGUAUGAUGACGACCCGUACAUUUUGGCAAACAGGGCGUCCCAAAUUGUGUAUCUAGAUGACCCUAAAGCCGGAAACGGGUGAAAAGUUGUGCAGAAGAUGGAUCAUAGGAACGUGUAUGAUAUACUAGAACUAGACCCAAGUGACAACGACGUCGACAAUGUGGCUGACCAACGUUUAGAAUCUUCAAUGGAAAAUGAUGCGGAAACACUUCGAGAUACAAAUGUUAUACAAGAACCGUUUCAAAUAGAAGGAGUGUCUUCAGUCGAAAUACUGAUUCAGUCAAUUACAAUUGACCUCGGUGAUCUUCCCCGAUACGAUGUUGCAGUGGGCCCUAGCAACGCCGAUGAUGCAAUUAUAGAGGAGGAGGAGGAAGGAGAUUGGGAGACCGAGAGUGAUGAUAGCGACGAUAACGAAAGUUAUUAUAGUUCAGAUGAUGAAUAAUGAAUUUAUUUGUAAAUUUAUUAUGUUAGUGUAUUCAUUUUGUGUAAUACAAAUCUUUGAAUAUAUGUAGUUGUUAUAUCCAAUCCUUAUAUAUGUCAACAAAUGUAACAUUGUUAAAUAAAUCUAGUUAUAAAACCCUUUUAAUAAUAAUGCGUCCCAAAUUUUAUUGACAAACAUUUGACGUAAUGAGGUUUAUGGCCAAUUCUAAAUUUGAUUGAGUUUUCAUGAGUUUAUGAAAGUUUAUUCCUUCACUUUAUAAAACAAAAAGGACAUUGUUAAAACAUUGUUAAAAUUUAUUAAAGUUUUCAUGAGUUUAUUAAAGUUUAUUCCUUCGCGUGAGACAUUGUUAAAACAUACAACAAAAUCAAAAAUGAAAAAAUAUUUAGUUAAACAAGAUCGGUAAAACAAAUAAUAUAACCCUCUUUAUACAAAGUUAAAAAAUGAUUAACAGAAAACCUUUCCAAAAAAUACAAAGCAUACACAAUUUGAACUAAAUGAGGAUUUAUGGUGCCAAAUCCUUGUGCGACGAAUCAACCUCGUCGCGCAAACUAUGCGCGAUGAAUAUUCGUCGCGUAAAGUUUGCGCGACGAAUAUACCUCGUCGCGCAUAGUUUGCGCGACGCAUAUAUAUUCGUCACGUAAAGUGACAACACUGCGCGACAAAAUAUACUUCCGUCGAGUAUGGUCUUUUUGCGCGACGAUAAGGGGCCCUUUGUCGUGCAAAUAUACAUUAGGGUAACCUUACAGUAUAAUAUAUACACACAUAUAUAUUUCAAAUUGGCAAUCGAAUUAGUUCAUUGUAUUCAUAUGGAGUGAAGGACUAUAGCUGCAAAAAAAUCAUCAAUAUCGGAGUUAAAAUAACCGUUUAAUCAUCACUUUUUAUUUAGAACCAUCGAAAAGUUUUACCCCGUUACUUAAUCUUUGAAUGUUUUUUUUGUCCGAUUUUUGUUGUCUAUGAUCUCGAAGUAUAAAAAAACAAGUUUGACGGCUGGAUGACUGAAACUAGUUUCGUAGACUGCUUGUGUAAAGACCCAAACCUAAAAUUCACAUGUAAUUAGUAAUUUAUUAUGCGAAAAGACAAUUUUGCCCUUUGACUCACUUAUGAACUCAACGUUGACUUUUUGACCGAAAAGGAAUUUGACAAUUCCACAUACACCGUUGUGUAGAGCACGACAAUACGAGUUCAUAGACACGAAGUAAGCUCGAAUCGGAGUUGUAACGAAGAAAAUACGAUUAAAAUAUCACGAAGGGCAAAAUAGUAAAUAAGAAAAUCAAAAGUUUUAUAAAAACCUCAGCUUCUCUUUCUCUUUCCCUCUCUCUCUCUCUCUCUCUCUCUCUCCCGAUAGUUCUAGAAAACCAGUCGGGCAGCCACCUUCCAAGCCACCCCAACGCCACCCCGACCCUCCGGACUGGACCCAGCAGCACCGGCCAGCUCCCGCCAUCAACCCCAGCCCAUCCGCCGCCCCUGCUGCUGUCUGGAGCCGCCAGAAACUGCUGGAAAACGCAGCAGUUUUGGCAGAUUUUCCAACCUCAGUUUCUCCCUCAUCCGGCCACCAAAUCAGUCGUGUGAGGUAUCGAUUUCUAGCUAUUUUUCGUGUUCUAACUGCUGGUUGGCUGGGUUUCGAUCAAUUUUUACUGUAGAUCACUCGAUUUUCAAAUUGAAAUUCGGCCGACUUUCGGCCUCCGUGUUCGGCCAUUUCCGGCCACUUUUUGGGGUAGGUCCAAGAACAAAAGUGACUCCAAAUGGGGUGUUUUACCUAGGAUAGGAGUUUGGAGUCCUGGUUCCGAGAUUUUUCGACCACCCGAAAUCGCUUAAGACACCCAAAUCUGCCCGCGCGUGCUGGGGCUCGUGGGCUAGGGUGGUGAAGUAAUUUUGUACAGUUUUGUGACUCUCGGGUCGUCACGAGCGCAUAGGAAUUCGCAGAUGUCAAUUUGGAUACCGUUUGAGCCUUGAACGGAUUUUCCAUAUUGUACGAUUACCGGGUUCAAUACUGUUGAGCCGUUGGAUCGUAAUCAAUUUUAGAUAUGUUACUCUAGAUAAUUUUAGGAACGUGUAGGAUUCGACGGAUUGUGAAUCGGAGUCCCGGAUACUCCGAAAUCGCGAACCCUAGGGCUAGGGUUUAGAAAUUAUGCGAUUACAGGAUUGUGAUCAAUCCGACCGUCCGAUUGACACCAAUACCCUCGGGACAUGUGUCCUAAAUAUAUUGGACCUUUUAGCGGCAUCCGGAUCAUAUUAUACCCGUGGGGUUCCGGAUUGACUUUUUGGACUUUAGCGCUUUUUGAGUCCCAAGAUACCGCUAAACGAUCCCACGUGGAAGGAAAGCUGUUGUGGGCAUAGGGAUCACUUUAAAUUGACGCACGUACUUUUAGGAGCCGGGGGUAGGGUUUUUUUUUAUUUAAUACUAUGUUGUAUUAAUAGAAUAUUAUGGUCAUUGAAUCAGGCACCCGGGCACCAGUUGACCCGCAGGAGGGACCUUCAAGAGGUCCAGCGAGUUCGGACUAUCAGUGAGUGGACUCUUUGUUUUUAUAAAUGAAUUUAAUCAGUUCAGUUUCAGUUAAGCAGUUCAGUUUCAGUUAUAAGCUGUUUUAUGCUGUUAAAUAUUUUAUGUUACUUGCUGCCGAGUGAAGUUUCCUUUUAAGAAUAUAGGAAAAGAUAUUCUCGUUAAUUAUCAGAUAAAUGGCAGCAGAAUUUUAAAGGUUACAGAAAGUUAAUUAUUCAUAAGAUUUUCUUCAGAAACUUUAUAUUUUCUUAAACCACCUUGUACCCAGUUAUUACAUGUUGCCUUCGGAUCAUAUUUGUUGCCUUCGGUUUAGUCAGCAUGCUUGACAGUUGCCCCACGAGUUCCUUGGUACUCGAACUCGUGUGGAGCGAGUAAUGCGGAUAAAGGCGGACUACGGUUCCCUGAAUCCUGCGAGUUGCGGCUCAGACUGACCUCGUGUCACUGAGACCUGCGAGUAUGUGUCACCCAUGGUGAUGCAAGGAAUUGACGGAUAUAAGGAUUUGACGGAAAUAAGGGUACACCUAGGUGAUAGUUUUCAACUGUUUUCAAAUGUAUAGUUAUAUACAUUCAUUGAUUUCAGAAAUAAAGAAAAUAAGUUAGUUUGUAUAACUGUUUUUACAGUGGGGUUAGUAUGUUCAUAUAUUAUUUUCUACGCUUUGUUUUGGGUCCACUCACCCUUCUUGUUGUUUUGCGCCCCCAGGCAGUAGACGUGCACAGGAAUCCACCACCGGGCCACUUCCCAUCUUCCGCGCCUUUCUUUGAUGUAGGAUUUGUAUUUUGUACAAAGAUUCACUCUUCUGUAAAUUCUUAGUAGUCGCUCUGAUGUUUUGCCCUAGACUGAGCUUUGAUCUCUUGGCAUGUGUAUAUAUAUGUAUGCUGGCAGUUGGUUAUAUAUAUAUACUUGUUUUGACAGGUGUAAAGAUUUUGGUAUUGAGCCAGAUACAAGGGAAACUCUGCCGGUUUUUCGGUAGAAGUCAACCUUGUUAUUUUUAUCAUGUUUUGUAUAGAAGGGCAAAUAGGUCAUUUGUGCCCGACAUUCGCCAGGUGUCGGACACGCACAGGGUCUGGCUCGGAUUCCAAAGUGGAAUUUGGAUCGGGUCCUGUCAGCUUGUGCUAUCAAAAUCAUAUAUUCACCAAAAACCCUAAAAUUUGUUCAUACAUUUGUGAAAAUGUAACUUAACGUUUAUGUGGUAUCCCCUAGUGUAAAAAUCUGAAAUUGAAGAUCAAAUUCAGUCAUUGUAUUCAUAUAGGGUCAACAAAUGUUGCUGUAAAAAAUGAUCAAAAUCGGAGUUAAAAUAACCGUUAAAUCAUGACUUUUCAUUUAUAACCGUCGAAAUAUUUUGUCCCGUUCCCUGAUAUCUGAAUGUUUGGUCUUUUUGAUUUUUGGCGUAUACGAUCUCCAAGUAUAAAAAAAUAAGUUUGCCGGUUGGAUCAUUGAAACUAUUUUAGGGUUUAGGGUUUAGGGCUUAGGGGUUAGGGGUUAGGGUUUAGGGUUUACAUUUUAGGCUUCAGGUUUUGCGCGACGAAUAAAACAUAUCCGUCGCGCAAAGUGAAAGUGAAAAAGAUUGCACGACGGAUAUAUCUUCUGUUCGUCGCGCAAUCUGGGCCACACAUUUCACCCCUCCAUCCCCUUUGAACACUUAGUGAAAAUUUCAACCGAAUCAAAAUCUUGAACUCGCGUGACGAACAACAAAUAUUCGUCGCGCAAAAGGCAACCUUGCGCGACGUUUCUUGUAUUCGUCGCGCAAAAGGCACAGACCAUUCAUUUUCGUUAGCGAUCCUUGCGCGACGUGUAACUCUUCGUCGCGCAAAAGGCACAGACCCUUCAGUUUCAGCCUCCCGCUAAACACUAAAGCCCAAAAUUUUGGCGGAACGACAGUGUUUUAGGCGACGAAUAUACAAUUUUCCGUCGCGCAAGGUUCUCCUAGCGCGACGUUUACUGUCUUCGUCGCGCAAAAGCACAAACCCUUCAGUUUCAGCCUCCCGCUAAACCCUAAAUUCCAAAAUUUAGGCGGAAAGAAAGUGUUUUGCGCGACGAACUAUGCUUUUUCGUCGCGCAAAAGGCACAGACCCUAAUCCCCAUUCAACAUUUGGCGUUGUGCGAGACCUUGCGCGAUGGAUUGUUCGUCGCGCAAGAUUCAUUAAUACCAUUUUGCGCGACGCAUUUUGUUCUUCACCGCGCAAAGUCGAAUAAAUUUGCAGAAACGACCCGAUGCCUCCUUCUUCCCCAGUUUCUGGUUUUUCCUCCGUUGCUCCCUCUCUCUCCGCUGUCACCUCAGCCCUCUCUCUCCGCCGUCACCUCAGCCACCUCCGCUCGUUCCGUAGCCACCCCUGCCGUCACCGUCGAGCCUGCCGUCGCACAUAGUCGGUUUUUCCCGAUUCUUCGCCGACCGAUUUCUUUAUCCUCCGGCCACCAUUUUCGACGCCUGAGGUAUGAUUUCUUGACUAUUUUUUGUGCUCUAGCUGAUGGUUGGUUAGGAUUUCUUGAAUUUUCGCUAUAGGAAAUAGGAAUUAAAACCCUAGGUUUUGGCCGGUUUGGGAAUUUCAAAUCCGGCCACUUCCGGCCAUUUUUUGGGGUAGGUCCGAGAACAAAAGUGGCUCCAAUUAAUGUUUUCAACCUAGGGUAGGAACCUUGGCCCUUAGUUUUUAGAAUUUUCCGACGAAUGUUAUCGCUUUGGACAACCACACGCUGCCGGCGCGUGUGGUGGCGCGUGGGAUACUGUGGCAGUGGGGCAUUGGGUCCCAGAGCAAUCCCCUGUUUGUCACGAGCGCGUAGGUUUGCUCGGAUUUGAAUUUGGUUACCGUUUGAGUCUUGAUCAGAUUUCGCCUAUUGUGCGAUUUCCAGGUUUGAUAUGAUCUCACCGUUGGAUCGAACUCAAACUCACGUAGUUGUACCUUUGUGUUAGGAUCGUUUAGGAUUCGACCGAUCGUUGAUCAGAGUCCCGGAUACUCCGAAAUUCCAAACCCUAGGUCAUGCUAUGCUUUUAAUUAAUUAGUUUAAAUUCUUAAUGAAAUUAUAUGUGCAGAUGUCAGACUUGAUUAGACGUGGUAGGUCGAUGAUGACUGCACCGAGUUCGGAUCCCCCGGCUCAGUUGGCAUCUGCUGCCACUGCUCCAGCUUUGAUGGACCACGUGCUGGUUGGUCCCGGGGCGUCCCAGGCGCCUGCGUCAUCUGCGUCAUCCGUCGCGCAGCCAGCUAGUGCUAGGCGGCGGCACCAGCCCGCCGACACCACCGACACGACAUCGACCGACGGUACUGGUGCCUCAGGAUCACAGCCAGGUAUAACUACCAUUUUGUAUUGUUAAUUUUAUAUUGAAAUUUGACAAUGUUGUUUAUUUAACAUUAAUACCUUAUUUCUUUGGAUCGAAGAAGAACACCUGAGGGCCGUGUCGUCAGUUGAAGACGGCGAAGGUCACCCGGGUGACCAACAGUCGUAUCAGCAUCGGAUACGACGAGCGCCAUCGGGCUGCACCGACGGCGGAGUUGCAUAGCUCCUUGGCCCACGACAUUGGCCACGUCGUGCGGACCCAUUGCCCGAUGCAAUGGAAGUCUUGGAGGGUCACGCCUGACGAGAUCAAGGUGGAGGUUCGCGGCCAGUUGUCGGUAUGUACCUUACAUUUUCAUUAUUUUUCUUUAAAAUUGUGUAUAUUUCUAUUACUUAACGUAUCUAAUUAAUUGAUUGCAGAUGAACUAUAACUUGGAGGAUCUCGACGAAGAGUCGUUGGCGUACAUCAACAGACUCUUCGCUGAGAGGUACAAGCAGUGGAAGAGCGACUUGCACCACCAUUUUCAGGCCUUUGAUGAUCCGCAAGUCGCUCUUCAAGAGGGUUGCCUGAAGGAGCUUGAGGGGCGGGAGGAUAGUUGGGAGUGGCUCUGCGCUCAUUUUCAAGCGCCCGAAUAUGUGAUAUUUUUUUAAUAAUAUUUGUUUAAUUAUUACUUAUUUCUUAUUAAUGUUUAUUUCAUUUUUUUUAUUUCAUUAUUAUUUAAUUUUUUAUAUUUUAAUUAAUACGUUUCAUUUUUUGUAUAACAGAAUAAAGCCCAAGUGAAUAAGGGUAAUAGGAAGAAGAAAACCCUUCUCCACCAUUCUGGCUCCAGGCCCUUUUCGUAUAGGAUGGAUGCACGGCGACGGGUAAUAAUCACAUAAUUUAUAUUUCAUUUUUAAUGUCAUUUUUAUUAAUUUAUUUUUUUCAUACUAAUAUUUUUCUUCUCUUGUUCAAUUUAGGAAGGGUCCAAGUUCCCAGAGAUCGACGUCUUUGGUGACGUUUAUGUUCGACCCGGGAAUGAGUUGGCCGAGUCCCUUCAUGUAAGUAUUAUUUAAUUUUAAUUCUUAUGUUACGCAUUCAAUUUAUAUGCAUGUUUUAAUUUAUAUUUUAUGUUAUGUUCAACAGACGACGAUGGUGGAGAGGAGCCAGUUGGUUCUUCAGGAGUCCGCCUCCCAGCUUUCUCCCGAGACUCCGAUCGAGUUUGUGGCUCCUCCACAGGAUGCUGGAUUUCAGAUCUUGACGGAGACGUUGGAUCAGACUCUCGGGAGGAGGCCGAGGACAUAUUGUCGAGGGAUGGGGAAUGCCCGGCGGAGGGAACCUAGACCUCGUUCAUCGGCGCAGUCAUACAGUCAGGUGACUGCUUUGACAGCACAGGUGGCCGAGCUUCAGGGUCAGAUGUCGGUGAUUCUACAGUCCCUCGCACAGGGCGGCUUUCCGAUCUCGCAGUUUCGUGCGUCGACCUCCCAGCCCGUCCACCCCGAGCAUGCCCACCAGACCACUGCCCCAGUGGACGCCCUGACCACUGCCCCGGUGAACGCCCAGACCACUGCCCCAGUGGACGCCUAGACCUCCGAGCCGCAUACGGGCGACAACCCGGUUGAUUUUGCUUCAUUAUUUGAUUAGUGUAUUUAUUUUCAUCAUAAACAUUUAUUUUAUAACAAAAUUUUAUUCUAAUUUAUUUUUAUUGCAAUUUCAUUGUUUAAUCAAUAAAAAAAAACCAAUUUUAUUAAAAAAUAAAUAAAUAAAAAACAAAAAACAAAAAAAAAUUGUAAUAUUAUUUUUGCGCGACGGAAAACAUUUCGUCGCGCAAACCCACAUGUAACAACAAAAAUAAAAAAUCAACUUUUUUAUUACUUUUAAUUCUUGCGCGACGAAACCAUAUGUCUCGCAAACACGUUUUGGGCGACGAAAGAUUUCAUCGCGCAACAUCUUCUGCGCGACGACUGAGAUUUUCGUCGCGCAAAUAUAUGAGCGACGAAAACUUUCUCAUCGCGCGAAUAGUUCUGCGACGAACACAUACGUCUCCCGAACAAGUUUUGCACGACGAAUUAGUUUUCGUCGCGCUAUGCCUUUCGUCGCGCAAAUAUACGUGCGCCGAAUACUUUAUCGUCGCGCAAAUAUUUAUGCGACGAACAGUUGUUUCGUCUCCACACCGUUGGUGCAACGAUGGUUUACCCGUCGCACAGUUAUACGCGACGAAGGGUUGUACCUCGUCGCGUAAAGGCUUUCUUCACGAUCUUUGCGCGACGGAAUCUGCGCGAUGAAGUUUUUGUCGCGCUGAAAUUAGUGCGACUAAAUGAGACUUUGCGCGACGUUUUGUUAUUCGUCGCGCAAAGAGUAAAAUGUAGUAGUGUACACCUCCUUGCGUCUCUGUGGAUCCGCCACUGCAUGCAUGCAUGCAUGCAUGUACCCUUUGUUAGGAAUUUCGACACAUGAAGAACUUACGUUUUUCUGUUUAAUAUUCAGUUUAAAAUAUUUUCAAAAUUUUAUAAAUAAUAUUGAUGUCACUUCGAGUUAAAUAUAUUUUCUGAACCACGUCAAAAAAUUACUUGUCACCAUAUUCAUUAUUGUAACCUUAAUUAUUGAGGAAUGAAUUGGUUUUUUACAAAAUUAGUGAAAUACCCAUUUCUAGACAUGAAACUAUAAAUAUAACCUAUAUUAUUUAAAGUAUAGAAACACACCCAAAAUUUCUUGAAAUUUACAUUGGUGACCUCAUAACUGAAACCUGUUUGGCAAACGAGCUUCGUUCACUUCUUCGAACGAGGCGCAGUAUGAUGUGAUUCUAGAUCUCCUUUUUCGAUUCUUCUGAGCUUGAUGUUUGGUGUGAGGUGUAGAUUGGAGUUCUAUUGCUUCAAUUUUUUGUUCUUUCUUGUUUGAUUUGGUAAUUUUUGGAUUGAUAUUGUGCUGCAUGAGACUCGAUUGGAGCUUGGUGUGAUCUGUGAUCUUCGAUUUUGAGGUAAUUAAUUUUUUCUUGUGAAUUCAUAUUCAUUUUUUGAGGUAUUCGAUUAUAUUGUAGUCUGAUUUUUGGUGAUUGCAUGUUCGAUUAAUUAAGAUGCUGAUUAGGUUUUAAAUUUUAAUUUUUGCAGUCUUGGAGUUUAAAUUUGAAAUGCAGAUCCAAUUCUUCUUGAUUUUAUCUGUUUAUUUUUGUUAUUGUUGAUUUGGAGGUAAGCUAUUUGAUUUUCUGAUUUCGUUCUAAUUGGUAGUUAGAUAUUCGUUUGGGUUUUAACUUGGGAUUUUAAUUUCUUUUUGUUUAAAAUUUGGAUUGAUUUCAGAUUCGUUUUGAUUGUGGAUUUGCUCUUGUGUUUUGGUUUGAGGUGUGGGGAAAAAUUUGUGAUAUUCGAUUUGGUUUUCAUAUUAAUUGAGGUAUUCUUUUUUAGUUGAAUCGAAGUAUAUUCGUGUUUUUUCUGUUUAUGCACUAUUGGUUUUUGAGUCGACUAUAAUUCACUAUUAAUGCACUCGGCAUCCACUGUUAUUGCUAGUAGUCAUUUUUGUUUUGUUUGUUUUUUUGUAGAGAUGUGGAUGAUUCAAGAGUGCCGAAGUGCACCUAUGGUGCUGGAACUUUAAUGCUUAUUUUGUCUUCAACUACUACUUUUGAUUGGGUGUCCAACGAGUUGUGUAGUAGGUUUAAGCUUAAGUUAGGUCAUUUUGAGUUGAAGUACUCUUUUACGGAUUGCUCCAAUUGUUUAUUGGAAUCGGAUGAUGAUUUGAACACCGAGCACAUGCCAACCUUCGGAACGAAGCCUACAAACAGCGUGUCUCUUGGUAUUACGACUCUAGGGUCAGGCACUGCUCCUUCCGAAUCGGAGACUGGGUCAUGCGCAAGGUAUCCCUAGCAACCAAGGAUGCCACGGAAGGAACCCUCGGACCUUCAUGGGAAGGACCCUAUGAGAUCAUCGGUAUCCUUCGAUCGGGAACCUACCGACUGAGAGACUCCAACGGCAAGACCCUCAGUCAUCCUUGGAACGUGGAACAUCUCAAAUACUACUACAAGGGACCUAGCCUACGGCAGGCCCGAACUGUAACCGCUCAGAAUGUAUUUGUCCUUCAACUGAAAUUAAUAAAAGUCUUCAGCACUAUUACUUCAGAACCUCUUUUUAAUUACUCUACUAACCCACUGCUGCCAAUAAUGUCGAGUUAACGUUCUACGGCAUCUUUAUUAGCCUACGACAAUAAAUGAUUUUCGAGGUUUUUACCCUACAGAUUCCAUCGGUAUUUUUAUUAGCCUACGGCAAUAAAUGACUUUCGGCGACAGUACGAUCGGCAAUUGAAACAAACUCAUAUUGUUGAAACAGAUGAUAAAAAUAAUAAUAAACUUUUAAAUUAAGGAUGCCCUCGUCACCAAUACGUUCAGAGUACAUGAAAGUUUAAAUCUAAAUUUACAAGUACAAGUUCAAAUUUAAUAGGCCCUCAGGCUUCGUCGCCGGCAGCAGCCUCGGCAGAACCAGAGCCUUCCGCAGCGUCCUCCCCCUCGUACUCCUCGAUCAUUUCCUCAGUUAUCCCUUCUGGUAAGGGGGAGGGUCGGCGAUGAAGUUCAGGUUCAGCUUUUGCCCAGGGUUGUACCGUUUGAAUCGGUACAACAGGUCCGCCAUCUCCGAGCCCACUUCCUUAUCCAGAAGGACAGUGAACUCUUCAGACGAGCGGUACCCCCGGAUCGCUGACUGAACGGCACCUUCGAUCUCCGCUGCCUUGGCCCGCUCAGACUCCUCCAGGGCCACCUGCACCGCCUUUUUGGCAGCCUCGGCAUCCCUCGCUGCCACCAGCGCUGCCUCCAGGAGACCCUUCAUCUCCUUCACCUUCGCCUCCGAAGCGAGAACCUGCCGUUCGGCAGACUCUUUCUCCUUCAGCAGAUGGGCAUGGUCCUGGAGCGCUUUGCCAGCCUCAGCAAACUUGGCCCUGCCGUCCUCGUACGCCUUCUUGGCGCGCUCGGCAGCAGCAAUGGCCCGCUUGAUGCAGAGCCACAUGUCCAUGGACGCCUGCACAAAACAAAGUCAGAAGCAUGCUCCACUUACAAAAAAAAAAGGGCGAAGGAAGAAAGAAAAUCUUACCGAGGCCUGAAGCAGAAAGGCGCGUCCAGCCUCCUCCCGAAGAAGCUUCUUCGGUAGCUCGUCGAUCUCCGGCAGCUCCAUCUGAGAGCCGAGGAUCAUAUGGUUGACGAACGGGACCGUCUUCGCUGGGCAGGCAAUGGUGACGGCUUCGGAAGGACCGUCCUCGUCCUCCACCUCAAGGACAGCCCUUGGGACCUCCGAUUGGCGAGGGGGUUUAGGGACUGGCUCGGCUUCCAGAUCGACUGUCUUCGGCAGCCUUGGAAGCGGCGGCCUCGGUAUCCCGAUGCCUCGGUGCAGAGACUUCAUCGGCAGUACGCCCCAGAACAGGCUCGGCGCCCAGCUAUCGCAGGCACUCCGCGAGGGUCUGAUCCUCCGGAUCCACCACCUCCUGCCGGACGGAAGCUGCCUCGGGCUGCUUUUUCUUUUUCUUGCCCUCCAGGCCCAUCAUCAGGCACCUCCGGAAGGACUCGUUCAUCUUCUUCGCCUCGGCAGUCUUCCUUGCGUCCGUCACUAGUCAAAAGCGUUCGGUCAGUCUGCAAACAAGAGCAACACACGAAAACAAAACAAAAAAGGGGAGAAGGAAAGAUGUACUCACUCUCGGCAGGGUUGACGAGGCCGGCUCUGACGAGGUUGUUGGUGAAGAGGAAGCGUGGAUAAACUCGCUCGGCAGCAGGUACUCUCAGCCUCACUCUAUCGAGCUGCCGGAUCUCAUUCUGCUUGGGACUCGGCUGCUUGAGUUUACCUGUCAGAAGAAGGAAAAUUAGUAAAAUAAAACAAGGAAAAAGAAGAGUGAAAAGCCGGCCUAUCAAUCGAUAUUUCGGGAACCUACCGGCAAUCUGAAAUAUCGUGGGGACCGAGAAGCGGGGGGGUGUUCCCGAUGGCGAUUCCCAAUCACCAGAGAGUAGCACCCGCCGAUUCCUCCACGACUUUUGAGAAGUCGGCACCCGAGCUGAUGAAGUGCCCCCGCUCGGUAGCCUUCAGGCAGUUCGCCUGAAACCCAGCCACUGUGAUCGGCGCUCUUGGACUUGGUAAUGCUGUAUAAGUACGAGAACUGCUCGUAGGAAGGCUCCCCUCCUCGGCAAUCCCGAAAGCAGCAAUUACCCCCAUCAAGGCCACCCAGAAGUUGGGGGUUGUACUGGCUAGGAGCGUACCCGAUCUGGGCAAGGAUCUUCUUGCACGGCAGGUUGCAACGGCAACCGAACCCCUUGCAGAAGAACAUCGGUGAAGAAGGUCACUUCGCCGUUCGCUGGGUCGCUGAGGGACUCGACAGGGCUUGGUAUCCUCAUCUUCUCCGAGUCCGGAAUGAGGUACUCGGCCCUAAUCCUCUCCAGCUCUCGUUUGGUGAUCUUGUUGGGCUCCAAGUAGUCGACCCCGAACAAAGUUUUCUUCGGCACACCCACCGGUAUCCUAGGCCGCUCUGGGUGGAUGAUCGUCACCCUCGGCCGAGAGGGACCGGCAAUGCCCUCACCACAACCGGAGGUGGAGGCCUCCGGCUGACGCUCAAAAGGACCAGUGAGGGUACCGUCCUUAUAAACCACGACCAAAGGAAGCGAUUGCCCCGUCAUAAGCCCCUUGCCGAUGUCAUGGGUAGGAAUGGAGUUCACCUCCUCACCGAAUAUCUCAACAUCGGUGUCCUCUCCACCCUCGGCGUCAAGGCUCACAGCCCCGCUGGACGUAUCCCAGUCCGAUGACUCCCCAUCGAACGCGUUGGGCUCACUGCUUAACGGCGACUCGCUAUCGGACAUCUACAAAACAAAGAAAGGGAAGCUAAGGCCCGUGCCACAAACUACCCUACCGAUACCUACAUCGCUACCUAUGGCCACUAGACUACCGAAGGAAAAUGCUACUUAACGUUCGGCUAGCCUAUGCCAUGGAAAGAAGUAUAAUUACAUAAAAAGAGAGUAUUCUGGGGGUACCGAACGGUAUCUUACCUUGAGUAGUGUGGGAUAAUUUGAUCGCCGAUCAGAGACUUCGAAAAUCGCCCUGUAUGCCGAGAACCGCUGUAAAAAUCGCCUUGAUUGUCGUUCACUCUCUUCGAAAAUCGCCUGCACAGAGCUCUCGCGUCAACUCACAAUUGCAAAGUGAGCCUUAUGUCCGGAGCAACCUCUAUUUCUAGAGAGAGAGCUGUAACGGUACGCCUCGGAAGACUAAACGGCUCUUUAAUGCGCCGUCAGACGUGCUUUUGCUGGCCACGUGUCACCAGACGAAUGGCGCCGCUGACUGCAUGCCAGGCACGGAAGACGAAGCGUCUCCCUGCCCUCUCGCCUCUCAGCAUCGACGACCCCUCGGGUCCCAGGUCAGUCUCUCCCGAACGAUAUCUUCCGAAAGGAUCGACACAAGCAUCCUUUCCUCCCCCCAAACGAGCCUACCAAACGGCAGGUCAACCUCCGAACUGCAGUAGAGAACUUGGGGGACUACUGUUUAUACUGGAAACAAACGGCCUAUGACCAUCGAACACGUGGACAUGAUCGAUAUUUAUCGCAGAAACCCUUCGGCAUGCUGCCUACCGAAGCCGUCUAUCUUGACCCUUUUACUACCGAACACGUGUCAUGCUCACAAUCCCCGUCCACAGUCCCACAUCGGAAAUAUGAGCACAGUGCACACCUCCCAAGGCCUAUAUAAGAAGACCCCUAUCCCCAAAAGGAAGGGAUCAGAACGAACGGUACGCUACCGAUUGAUCUGUCAGUUAACAUUACUAAAACCGUACUUACUAAAGCAUCGGAGAGCCUUCGGCCGGUACCACACCGGUACCCCAAGGACUUACCGAACGCGUCCUUUUGCAGGUACUCACCCUUCUGAAGCAAGACGUCUUCCGAAGAUAGUCACCUGCCGAAGGCAUAAUAUAACUAAGUUGGCGAAAUACGUGCCGAACUACUUUUUCGCAUCAACAGAAGUAAAUCCUGAAAAUAAUUCACAGCAUUAGAGGAUAAACCAAAUGGGGGAAAUAUAAAUGAUCAUUCAUUAUCCAGAAAGAAAAGUUAUCCCAAUAGAUUGAUAAGUAGUAAGGAAGAUCAGGGCAGCAGUAAAAACACUUUGCCAUGCACGUGUACAAAUUUCAUCAACAAAUACAAAAGAAGGUGCCUGAGCAUAGGGAAUAAAGAUGAUAAAAAUGAGUAUGUGCUACAUCCUAGGGAACGGGCUUGAAACAACUUCUCAAUCCUAACCCAAAGGCGUCACAGUGGUCGAGCAUUUGCAAUACGCCAUGUUUUGCUUGCUAGUUUUGAUGUGCUUUGGGGAUAGAUUGGAUGAAAACCAAAUCAAAGAAAUAGAGUGUGUUCAGCGUUCUUUGUUCUUGAGUUCUGAGCGAUAUCAUUUUCUCAAUUUUUUGCCUGAAUUAGAAUCUUGGGGCUUGGGGCUAGGGCUGUGGGUGUUGAAGAAUACAUGAGUCUCACAUCAGAAACUUAACAAAAUAGAAAGUCCCAUAUAAUAAAUGGUUUCAUUCCUAAUAACAUCGAUGUCUUGUACACCUGCUAAACAGGUGUUUAAGUUGGGGACAAUAUCAAUGUUGCUAGUGGUGGGCCAAGAGUUCAUCCUUCUGAAAUCUUAACAUUGUAUCAGAGCCAGGUUGGUUGCCUAGGCCCGAUUAAACCAAAUCAAACAAAAACCCCAAAUUGAAUCAAAAUCAAACAAACCCCAAAUUUUUUUAAAACAAAUAAUAAUAAUGUGACCGAUGUGGAAUUGGUUGCACGUGUGGCCCACUAAAAAGUAGUCUCACGUAAGGAGGAGUGUUAAAGAAUACACGAGUCCCACACCGGAAACUUAACAAAAUAGAAAGUCUCAUAUAAUAAAUGGUUCCACUCCUAAUAACAUCGAGACCUUUUGUAUAAAACUCCACACCUGCUAAACAGGUGUUUAAGUUGGGGACAAUAUCGAUGUUGCUAGUGGUGGGCCAAGGGUCCGUCCCUCUGAAAUCUCAACAGUGGGUUGCGGGUGGGGAUGGGAUGGUUAGGUCGUGAGAGGGAGAAAAAGCAGAGGGAUGUGUGGGGGAAGGCUGAGAGGGGGGAGGUUGGGGAGUUGGGAUGUGAGUAAGUGUUUUUGUAUAAAUCUGGGUUUGUUUACUUUUUCAAAAAAAUUGUUAUUUUAUUUUUGUAUUUAUCUAAUUUUAAAAUUUUUAAUUAAUUUAAACAAUAGAUAAAUUUUUUAUUAAUUGUUUAGGUCAAUCUCACGGAAAAAAAAAAGAAGAAAAAGAAGCCAUGUGGCUGAUGAGAUUCAAUGUUUUAAAAUUUUCUAAGUUUUAUAAUAGUUUCCUUUAAUUUUUAACUAUAUAUUACUAUUUUAAUUCAUAGAGACACUUUAACCCCUAAAUUUCAUGUCAAAAUUGACAGACUUUGACAGUAGGAUCAUUUUGAUACUAAAUAGAGAGUUGAAGGACUAUUGAAAUGAAAAUUUUAGUUGGUGGACUAAAAUGAGAUUGAAGCAAAAAUUAGGGGACCAUUUCAAUCAAUAACCAGGCUAUAGUAUUAUAUAAUUGUUAAAGCCUUCAGUUGCUAGAUUCCCUUAUAGUAUUAUAUAAGGUAUGCCGAUUCUUGUAACUAACAAUUGCACCUAGUUCUUAUAAGAACAUGGGUGUUAAGAAUUAGGAAAGUUAUUUUUAAUUUCCUUGUUUAUAUUGAUUGUAAUUGAUUUGGAGUAGUCUACAAGUAAUAACCUAGUUAAUUUUCUUUGUAAAUUUAGCUUGUAAAGUCUAUAAAUUUAGAUGGGUGAUGGGAAUCAAAAUCGAUGUUAUUUUCCAAGAUGUUCAGGAUCUGCUCACAGAACAAAGCUAUGACAAUUUCUAAACUUGAAAGGAACUUUGGGCUACUAACUAGCCUUUGUUUUAGUAGUAUUUUUAGUUAGAGAAGGUCUCAAGUUUGAUUCACAUGGACAUCAACGACGAUAUAUGUUCUCAAUGAGUUCAAUACUUUUGUUGUGGCUAGACUCACAUUGUUGUAAUGUAGCUUUCUUUUAGGGCCAAUUUAGUGGGCAGUAUUAUAUGGUCGGAUGAGAUCAUAAUUCAUAAUUCUAGUCAAAUAUUUGAUGUGGCAUUAAAUUAUUUUUAAUUUUCCACCCAAAUUUAAAUUGAAAUUUAAUUUUCCAUUUAACGGUUUAAUUAACGUCAGAUUUUGCCAAAUUGUAGAUACUAGAAUCAUAAUUUGCAAAAACAAAAAAGAAGAAAAAGCUGGAUGCUUGAGUUGAUCUCGGUCUAGUUUGGGAUUGCUGUCACUUUUUAAAAAAAGUUGUUUCUACUGUACUUUGAAAAUAAUUAGCUAUAAAGUAAAGUAGCUCCAUGUUUGGUAAACAAUAUUUUUAAAGUGCUGUUAGUACAAAAAGCAGUGUCAAAACCGUUUGGUAAAUUUUAAUAUAAAAUUAUUGUAACUAUGAAUAAUGAGUAAAAUAGACAUAAUGUUGAAAGUGUUAUGUACUAAUCAUGUGGUGGUAGUGGUGGUGAUGGAGUGGAGGUGGUGGUGGUGGUGGCAGUGGCAGCAUGGUGGUGGUGGUGAUGUUGGUUGUGGAGGUGGUGGUGGAGGUAGAGGUGGAGGAGGUGGUGGUUGUGGUGGUGGUGGCGGAGGAGGAGGAGGAGGAUGUGGUAGUGGUGGUGGUGGUGGCGGUGGUUGUGGUGGUGCAAGUGGUGGAGUUGGAUGUGGAAGUGGAGGUGGUGUCAUUUUUUUUAAAUGAAUGAUGGUAUUUUGGGAAUUAAAAAAAAUUCAUUAAAGGUUCAAGUCUUCUUCGUUUGAAAACAGUUUUGAAAAGUAACCCAAAGUUUGUUUUAAAAGAUGCUGUCAAAAGGCCACUGCUUGUAAAAUAAUCGGGAUAUUUUAUUUUUACCAAACACUUGAAACUGUUUAACUUUAAAGUAAAGUAGAUUUUUGGCGAAAAAAAGCAAUCCCAAACGGAGCCCUCUUAUCCCUAAAUGGAUGUUGAGUUUCAGCUUAGAUGUUUCCAAUUUCAAAUAAAUUACAUAUGCUUUAUUGUUGUAAAUGCAUGAGUUGGUGGAUGACCACCAUACCUCUUAAUAUUCCACCGUUGGAUUUUAUGUAACCUAUGCAUUAAGUAUUUGUAAUUAGUACUUGUAACCUAUAGGUAUAUUGUAAAUGAUGGUAUUCAAUCUUCUAUCUUGUAAGCCUAUAAAUAGGUUGUUCUACCAAAGAUUAAGAGAGGAAUAAACAUGGUGAAGCUUUAUCUUUAGCAUAUCACUUUUCUCUGCAUUUUCUCCCUCUAGUUUUAUAACACGUUAUCAGCACGACAUUGCUCUUGGUAUGUUUUCUUUCUCUGAAUUUUCUUUCUUCUUAUAUGAGCUAGAGUCAUCACAUGGUAUAGAGUUUCUUUGUACUCACCAUCAGACUUCAUCAUGCUUGUUUAAGAAAAAAAAUUCUUAUUCUUAUUACACAUGAAUAUAAUGCCAUGUUUUUAUUUUUAUUUGUUUGUUUAUUUAAUUUUAAGUAUGAUCUUAAUUAUUAUGAUGAGUUUGAAUUAUACAAAAGAUCAGGGGCCCGAAGUUCCGUGAUCCUCAUCAUAUAACUAGAUUAGGAUAUAGAGUCCUUUUGAUUGAAUCAGAACCUGAAGUUCUUUGAUUCCAAAUAAUUGAGGGCGUGAAGUUCCGCGAAUUUAAAGAGCACAUAAGGACAUAAAACUCCUCGAUUUUGUAUUAAUCAAAAUCAGAAUUCCAUGAGGCCUACAUAUGUCAAGAACUUGAACCAGAAGUUUCGAGUGCAUAUACAUCGAUUUGAGUAUGAAGUUCAAAGCACAACUAUUAAUUCAAUUUAUUUAGAUCUACGUAUUCGUACCUGAAGUUUCGAAUAUAUAUUGAUAUGAAAGUUCAUAGUUUUUCAUGGAUCUUAAUACUAUAUAUGAACUUGAAGUUCAUUACUUAUUUGUGCCUAUAUGAACCUGAAUUGGUUGGAAAUCCAAUUCUUAAACUUGUAGUUUUAUCUACAUAUUGAAUCCACAUUAAUAUUGGAUUAUCUUGGAAUUUCAUAAUCUUUAAUUAAUUUAUUUUAUUCCUUGUUCAUACCACUUUACUUAUUUUAUUAUAUUAUAUUUUAUUUAUGUUAGGUUAUUAAUUAAUUUUGUUUUACAAUGGUAAUGUUUUGUAUUACCGCCCCAAUAUUGAUAGCCAGAGGCGUCUAUUGGAGAAACUUCCUACUUUCUUUUGUGGGUAGGAAGUUUAUGAUGUUAUGAACCAAUAGUUCUUGAGGCCCCAAUAUUACACAACUAUUAUAGUUGAAGAUUAUGAUGUCAUGAACUAGAAGUUCAUUGACCGAAUAACUUUUAUGUUGUGACAUGACUAUCUUGGCAAUCCAUGUCCCACAAUGAUGCAUAAGAUUUUUAUAAAUUUGUAAGGACAUCGUUUAAAGACUCAAAUUAUUGUCUUAUCCAACAAUAUCAUUACAAAGAACGCUCACAAAUAAAAGCUGUCAUAAGAUCAUCUCAGUCAAAAAUUGACUUUGAGCCAUCUUUCCUGAAAUAAUUCAAGGGGAUAUUUGUGAGCCUAUACAACAUCUAAUUAUGGAUCACUUCACCAGUUUUACUGAAUGUGCCUACUAAAAUGGUCACAUAUUUCAUAACGACUGUGAGUUUAUUUUCCUACAUUUUGAGACAAUUUUCCCGCCAUUAGGGGAAGAAAUGACAAUUCCUAAAGAACGUCGUGAAAUAGUGUUGAAUCAAUCCGCUUUUGUCUCAUCAAGAUAAUGCAUAUAUAAGUUGUACAUAUGCUAACAUGGAUUGAUAUUCUCAUAUCACAAUCCAUUAACAUGGUGACUAUAUAUAUAAUGCAUGCCUGAAGCAUGUCAGAAAUAUAGGUUCUAAAGACUUAACUCCUCAGAAAUGGAGAUUAUUUGAAAAAUUCAAGCCCUAUAAAAAAUAACGCUCUAUAGGAGGUUAUGAUCCACAUAUUCUAAAUAAUUCAUUGUAAAAGAGAUGUUUGUCCCAUAAGUGACAACAUAAGCCCCUGAAGAGGCAUUGGUACCCCAAAGCAAUGAGAUGAUUAUAAAUUAUGCAUGUGCAUGCACAUAAGAAUUGUGGGAUCACAAAUUGAUGAUACAUUUGGUUUAUUAGUAGCUACUACAAUCAUCAAGGGCUAUGAUUAUAUUAAAUCACGUUUCAUGAAUGUCGACAAGUUAAGUGAUUGGCCAAAAAUGGAAAUAGGCAAUUCCAUUUAUCACUAAAUAAGAAGAGUUGGAUAUUGAACCUAUAACUCAAACACCAAAUUACAAAUGUUCAGUAUGAAGGUUACGAAUUGGUGUUUGUGAAGUGAAAUAAGAUCACUAAUAUGACAUAAGGUUUCCUGGGAGAGACAUGUAGUUUUAGUCUCCAAUCUCAUCGUAAAUGCAUCCACAUUUCUAUAAGUGCGGUUGUUACUUUAACGCAAAACUUAUAGUAUGUGUUAAAUGCAUAUUUAUUAAGACUAUAUGGUACAUAGAAAUCCUCAAAGCUCAUGAAAUAUUUGAGAUAUAUCGGAUGAAGCAACCUCUUGAAGGAUAUAAAGUACCACAAUAUUCUUAAUUAAGAGUUAACACUAAGAGUUUGAGUAUUUUGAAUUCAAAUUUGAUAUUGUUGUAACAUAUUCUAACUACUAAAUUAGUUGUUGAUACUCCUAAAGAUUUCAAUCAUUUGAAAAGUGAAAAGCAGGUUGAAUAGUGUGAUAGAUGAUCAUGUAUGAAGACAAUGUUGCUUGUAUUGCUCAAAUCAGAGAAGGAGAGAUAUUAAUCAGGGGGAGAUAUCAAUCAGGGGGAGCAUCCCAAUUCUACUACAUUCAAGGCAGAUGCGCGUUGUACUCUUUUUCCCUUCGACUAGGUUUUUGUCCCACUAGGUUUUUCCUAGCAAGGUUUUAACGAGGCAAUAUAAGCUCAUCCAACACCAUAUCAAUGAUUCAGAAGAAAGUUUUACUCUUUUUCCCUUCGCUUUGGUUUUGUCCCACUGGGUUUUCCAAGCAAGGUUUUUAAUGAGGAAACAAUGUCAUUGUAUGGUGGACAUCCAAGGGGGAGUGUUGUAAAUGCAUGAGUUGGUGGAUGACCACCAUACCUCUUAAUAUUCCACCGUUGGAUUUUAUGUAACCUAUGCAUUAAGUAUUUGUAAUUAGUACUUGUAACCUAUAGGUAUAUUGUAAAUGAUGGUAUUCAAUCUUCUAUCUUGUAAGUCUAUAAAUAGGUGGUUCUACCAAAGAUUAAGAGAGGAAUAAACAUGGUGAAGCUUUAUCUUUAGCAUAUCACUUCUCUCUGCAUUUUCUCCCUCUAGUUUUAUAACAAUGGAAUUUUUUUUUUUUUUGUUUCCUUUUCAUUUUUAGAAGUUUCCAUUCCUUUGACCAGGAUACGCACUUAAUUAAGGUUGGUAAAAAUAAAAAAAAGCAGUCCGUCCACAGUAGAAAAUUCCUUGCAAUAUCUCCUUGCCUUGACAUCAACCAUGCACUCCCCCUUCCAAUAUUCAAUUGUUUUAUUUAUUUGGAAUCUCCAAUUAGUCCUCAUCAAAAAUCACAAGAAGAACCAGUCCCGUCUCUGUCAAUAUGUGUUUGUGGGUGUGGCUUUCAUUUUACUCAUGUGAUAUAUCAAUGAUGUGGCCAACGUUUAAUUUGGUUCUAGAAAGAAAAAAAAAGCAAUAGAGAUAAAAGAAAGUUGGUCCCACUAGUAGAAAACUGCUCUAAAGACACGGACUUAUACCGUGUGAAUAGUUGUGAACGUAGGCACUACUCUCUUUUGUCCAGUCUCAAUCAAUCCUCAAAAGAAGUAUUUUGAUGAAUUGGAAUUGGCAGGAUUUGGUCUGAGUAUUAUUAUAUCAUUUGACAAAUGAAUUACAUUUUCUUUUUUAUGUAUUAUGCUCUCUUCUUUUUCCUUUUUUUUUCUUUUUAAUGAACACGACAGGUAGGGGUGGGCACGGUUCGGUUUGGACCGGUUUUUGCCUCAAAUUAGAACCGAUCCGAUACUAUUCAACCGGUUUGGUUCAGUUCGGUUUUAAUAAAAAAAAAUUCAAAAACUGUCCGGUUCAGUUUGAACCGGUUUCGAUCCGGUUCCGGUUCCAAUUCGGUUUUGAACCGGAUUAUAAAAAUUAUUUUUUUAAAUUAUUUUUUAAUACAAUUCUCAACUGAAAUAUUAUUUUUUUACUUGAAAAUUAACAAAUUAUUCAAUUUCAUAUAAAUAAAUAAAUAUUAAAGUGAGAAAAGAGAGAUAUUUUGACAUUGAACUUGGAUAAAUAUUAAGUUUUUUUUAGUAAAAUUAAAAAUAUAGCAUUAAAUAUAAAUAUAUAUUGAAAUUAUAUAUAUUGUUAGUUUCACCGGUUCGGUUCGGCCCGGUUCAGUUUUUGAAGACAUGGAACCGGAUCCGGAACCGGUCCAAACCGGUCCGGUUCGGUUUUUGACCGGUUUUUGACUUUUUGAUCAACUCGGUUUUUUUCCGGUUUGGUUCGGUGCGGUUUGGUUUGGAUUUUCGGUUCGCCGGUUUGAGUGCCCACCCCUAACGACAGGAGAAUAAAAAGUAUAUAAACCCAGUUUUGAUUUGACCAACAAUAAUGUACAAACAGAAUGGAGCCAUUAAUGUUCUCCUUCAGAUUUCUGUUCUUCCUUUCUCCCGUUUUGUUCCUCAUGAUCAGCACUCAAUCUCAAUCCCCAUAUUGUUACAACGAUAAAGGCAACUACACCACCAAAAGUACCUACCAGACAAAUCUCAACACCCUUCUCUCUUCUCUUUCUUCCCCCUCCAACAACGGCAAUGGCUACGGCUUCUACAACUCAUCCUACGGGGAAAACCCCGACCAGGUUUACGCAAUCGGGCUAUGUCGAGGGGAUGUCACGGUGGACAAUUGCCGUGGCUGCCUCAGCAACGCCACACAACAGCUCACACAGGGUUGUCCCAAUCAAAAGGAAGCUUUCGGCGUAAUUGAACAGUGCACGCUUCGCUACUCCAACCGCUCCAUCUACGGAGCCAUGGAAACUUUCCCUGCUCUCAUGUGGUAUAACCCACAGAACGUGACCUCCGACGUCGACGGGUUUUUUCAAGAACUGAAGACGCUACUGGAGGACCUAAGGGGUCAAGCUGCAGGGAACGGUUCACUUCGAAAAUUUGCGGCAGCGACCGCAACCGCUCCCAACUUCCAAACAAUCCAUGGACUUGCGCAGUGUACGCCGGAUUUGACCGAGCAGGUCUGCAGUGAUUGCUUGGGUAGUUCUUUGGCAGAUAUUCCAAAAUAUUUUCAGGGGAUGCAAGGUGCUCUAAUUAGUAAACCCAGCUGUAAUGUUAGGUAUGAGACCUAUCGCUUCGUUGACCCUACAACUAUCCGACCAUUGCCGUCUUCUCCGCCGCCACUGUCUAGUCCUCCUUCCCUGUCAACCAGUACAGGAGGUAUAUAUAUAUAUAUAUAUUUAUAUAUAAAUAUAUCUAUGUUUAUAUCCCAAUAUAUUAUGUUUUGAAGAAAUAAAGUUUCCUUACCUAGAGCAAUUGUCCAGGAAUUUGUAGACCAGUUACAUUUUAGUCCCUCAAUUCAAUUUUUAGUUGAUGUAGUUGUCUCGUGUACAAGUUGAGGGACCAUUGCUACCAUUAACACUACAAUAAUUUUGGGUCGAAUAGAUUUCUAAUGCAUAUAUAUUUUGUUAGGUUCAUAUACAGAUGUAUGUAUGUAUUCAAAUUAAUGCAAAUGAGAUAUCUGAUUUUUGCAGGAUCGAAGAGUAACAGAUCUCAGACUGUCAUCAUUAUUAUUGUGCCAAUUGUUGUUUAUGUUAUAUUCUUCUGCAUUUGUUUAAGAGUAAGGAGGACAAAGAAAAAACUUGAAACUGGGAAGUUAAUUCAAGGUAAGGACGCAACUCUAGUGAACAUUAAUUAAUCAUAUUAUUCCAUUUGAUAGGGAGGAAGCCAAGUACUACCACUUUUAUAGGCAUUUUUAGAAUUUCAAUUGUUCCUCAGGCAGCGACGAUACAGAGGAAAUUGGAACUGCAGAAUCCUUGCAAUUUGACUUGGCCAACAUUAGAGUUUCCACAGAUGACUUUUUUCUGAAGCAAAUAAACUUGGACAGGGCGGAUUUGGAUCUGUUUACAGGGUAUUGACAAGUUAACAAGAACUUAACUUUCAUAUUUCUUGAAUGCCACUUAUCUCAUAUCUAUUUUUUCAUUCCAUACCUAUAUAUUUUUUCAGGGUAGGCUUUCCAAUGGAAAAGAUAUAGCUGUAAAAAGACUCUCUACAAACUCUGGACAAGGAGAUUUCGAAUUCAAAAAUGAGGUCUUGUUAGUGGCUAAACUUCAACACCGGAAUUUAGUUACACUCUUAGGUUUCUGCUUGGAAGGAAACGAAAGGCUUCUUAUCUAUGAAUAUGUCCCUAAUGCAAGUCUCGAUCACAUCAUAUUUGGUCUGAAAUUAUGCAUUGUUUUCGUUUGACUUCGAAUGUUUAUUAUAAAAUUCCAAUUUUGUGACAUAUACAGCAAACAAACAUUGUAAUUGAAGUCUUGAUUUUGCAUUAAUAUAUUGGCAGACCCAACAAAGCGUGCACAACUAGAUUGGGUGAGACGCUACAAAAUCAUAGUAGGCACUGCUCGAGGCCUCCUUUAUCUCCACGAAGAUUCUCGCCUUAAAAUUAUUCAUCGUGAUCUCAAAGCUAGUAACAUCUUGAUAGAUGCAGAAAUGAACCCCAAAAUUUCAGAUUUUGGUAUGGCAAGGUUGUUCGUGCCUGAUCAAACGCAAGGCAAUACUAGUCGGAUUGUUGGGACCUUGUAAGAAUAUGCACUUAACUGCCUGUGGGCUUAUGUCUGUUAUGUCAACAAUUUCCUUUCCAUAUGUGUUGGUGAACGCAAACAUUCUUUUUGUUGAUAUGCAGUGGGUAUAUGGCUCCAGAGUAUGCAAUGCGUGGGCACUUUUCUGUUAAGUCCGAUGUCUACAGUUUUGGUGUGUUAGUUCUAGAGAUAGUCAGUGGACAAAAAAAUAGUGGCUUCCAGCAUGGAGAAAAUGCGGAGGAUCUUCUAAGCUUCGUAAGUGAAAAUAUAAUGUAGUUUUGGUAUCUCAAUACAAUUUAUUGCAACGAAUCAAAGAAAGAAAACUUAUCUCUGAUCAAAUUCACAAAUCAUUGCAGGCCUGGAGAAGUUGGAGGGAAGGGACAUCUUCAAAUCUAAUAGAUCCCACCUUGAAGACUGGUUCAAGAAAUGAAAUAAUGAGAUGCAUCCACAUUGGAUUAUUAUGUGUGCAAGAAAAUGUAGCUGAUAGGCCAACCAUGGCUUCUGUUAUUCUCAUGAUGAAUAGCUACUCCUUCACUCUCCCAGUGCCCUCCCAACCAGCAUUUUAUUUGCAUAGCAUUGGAUCGGACAUGUCGUUAGGAUCGGAAUAUAAUUCAGGGGCAACAAGGUCAGAUCGAUCCAAGAGUAACUCUGUUAUGGUAAUGGAAUAUGAUACUUUUACUGAACCACAUCCUCGCUAGUGGUUGAAGAUCGAUCCCUUUUGAUUCAUUUUAACAAAGGCAGGAUGCAUGGUCAAUAGAUACUUUUUCACAAAGGAAGGAUGCAUGCAUGUACUCUUUGUUAGGAAUUUCGACACAUGAAGAACUUACGUUUUUCUGUUUAAUAUUCAGUUUAAAAUAUUUUCAUCAACUUAAAUAUAUUUUCGGAACCACGUCAAAAAAUUACUUGUCACCAUAUUCAUUAUUGUAACCUCAAUUAUUGAGGAAUGAAUUGAUUUUUAUCUUUCAUCUGGAAAAAAGUGAAAUGGGUUUCUACGUUUGGGGAUGAUUGCACACUUAGACGAAAGUGGUUCGGAUAGGUGUAUUGAUUAACAUGAAGCUCAUAGCUUUUGAUAUGUGAUAAUAUGACUAAAAACGUUUAAAGCAGUUUGGGUCUAAAUUUCACGCGCCAACCCAAUUGACUAUUGGCCCAUGUCAAAAACAGGAGUUUUGGUUUUAUUUUACUAAAGUCAUAAGUUAGCCUAGAUGGGUUUAGAGGCCCAGACCUUUGUGAACCAGUUACGAGGAAUAAAUUUACAAUUAUGGAUUUAUUGCCAUUAAUGGUGAUUUAAUCUGGACAAAUCAGUUUCUAAUUCGUUUAAAAACUAAGUUCAGCUUCUAAUCGCUCCGAAGGAUCAAAAUUUGAUAAUCACCGUUGAUCACAAUUUCAGAAAUCAAGUCAGUAGAUUUUUGGAAAGAUCUCUCUCUCUACAAGAGCCCACGUGACUCUAAAGUCAAGAUUUCCACAGGGCAGAGGACAUGAUGGGGAGUUGGUAGAAGGUUUAAUCGGAAAACCACUCCCCAUAACCAUUUAAUACCUGAAAAGAGAGCCAAGUUUCUUUCCUAUGCUAGUGAGAGCUUUGCAUCAGGGCAAGUGGGGUUUAGGAGAGAUAAACAAGAGUAAGAUAGUUGGUAGACAGAAGAUCAAAACUUAUCAUCAUAAAAAUUAACUUUUUGUGGGGGUUUUCUUUUGUCAGACUAAACUACUAUCCCUUUUUUCGCGCUAGAACAAGGAAUCCUCUCAACAGAUCUGUCCUCCGGAUAUUAAGGAAUAAACCCUCAUUUAGAUUCUCUAUAAAUAUGAGAGGUGGUGAACAGGAUUGAGGACAACCAAAAAUUCAAUCAAAACAAAAACUCUCAAGUCAUAUUGACAAAUUCAAAACAAGAUCAUAUGAUCUCAAAAGCCUUCAGACUCUGAAGUAAUCAAGCUCUUUGAUUUAUAAAAGACAUCCAGUCUCUGAUAGAACAGGCAGACCUCAGGUUUCUAACUUCAGUUCAACUUAAAGAAGCAUUUCACAUAAAAAUGAGAUUUCUCUCAUUACAAAUUUGGUUCAGCAUAGGCCAAUCAAGCAGAGUUUAGGCUUUUCAUAAUAUGAAAACCUCAACAAAUUUACGUAGAUGCCUUGAUGCCUGAGAAUCAUCAAAAUAGAUCGCAGGUGACCCACAAUUAAGCAGAACAUGUACUAAAGUGCAGUUCUGGACCAGAAAUCGUCAAUCCAGCCACUUCCAAUCCAAUCCAGAUUGAAGAAAUCCCAGUUUCGCCUAUCCAAUAAGCCUCUCUAUGGCUAAAAUAGAUUAAAGCUCUUCCAAUCUCAACAUUGAUAUCGAUUUCCAGCUAAACCUCAUCAAUUGAAGGUGCUGACGUUUGAAUCCAGCACAGAUACAUCCACUCCAGCCUGAGUCACAGGCAACAAUCCAAGCAGAAAUAGAAGCCCAAUGUUCUGUUGUCCUUUCAAACAUGGCAGUUCCCUUUUGUUUUAAAUUGUGUAAUAGGCAAUUCUCUUUAAAACAGUUUUAUUUAUUUUCAAUAUUCAUUUAGGACAGAACUACUAGUUUUUACUGUGAGAAAUUGUGAAGUCCUCACCAGCCUGAGGCAAGAAAAGAACUUACUUGGGAGAUAUUCUUCACCCAAAUUCACAAUCACUUGUUUAAAGUCAGUAACUUGGGGCACAAGUUAUCUAUUUUUCAUAAGUCUGUUAGGGUCUUGACAGAUAACAGUGGCACGCUCGCACACCAAAGAAAGUUGACUUGUUGACCACAAAUGGUUUUCAAGUCAAUAGGGAAUUUUAUCCUAUCAUCACAGGAAAUUAAAUCUAAACGGGUGAACAAAAGUAAAUAAGCUCUAUAACAUUGUAGAACAAGCUUGUAAAGUGGUAUAGUAAAAUGCAAGUAGUAAAUUCAUUUGACUUGCCAGAUUAUAUUUCAACAGAGUGUUAUCUAAUUUGAACAAAUUUUUUUUUAUAAUUGCUUGCUAAAUUGGAAGUCUCUUUGGAGGAAAAAUGGGGGAUUAUCUUGCGAAACGCUUUCCCGAUGCUGGGAGGAUAGUUUUUUCGCAGAUAAGCUCCGGUUCAGCUCCAUUAGCAGUUAUUUUGUUGCAGAUGUUGCCGGAUGACCAAUCCACAGCAUUCAGGCAUGGGCUGGUCUUGUUCAUUAUGGGAUGCUUCACUUCCUGGAGCAGUCCAGCAACUAACAAGUACGUAUCCUUGAUCUACUAUAGUCUUCAUUUUCCUUAUAAAGAAAUGAAAUGUAUCCAUCUUUCGUAGUGACGCCGCAGAACAAAAAAAGGGAGAGAAAAUCAGUUGCAUGGGGAAUUAUAACUGCAUGGUUCUCAAAUCUGAGAGAAAUUAAUAGAGAAGCUGCCCAAAGCAGAAGCUGGACUUGGCUAAGUGCACCUUCCUCCGUAAACACAACUCAAAUAUGAAAAGGAUGGUGAUGAUCUCAUUGUCUUGGCAAUCCCCUUGGUCUCAAAUAAGAUUGGAGAACAGUUGGAGUUGUAAUAGACAGACUGAGGUUAGAAACUAAGGAUUGUCAAGGCAAGUAGAGUAUCCAAAUUCAUAUGAAAAAGCUUCAUCGACAUGGUAAAAACUGGAUUUUAAAGUUUACAACCAAGAUGUACAUGUUAGCUAGUAACACCAUCCCAUCCCAUGUUUUUUUUUUUUUGGACAAAUCCCAUGUUUUAGUAUCCGGAUAUUGUCUUUCCCAUUUUCUCUAAGAUAAUGUAAAAUAUCAGAGACCCUUUGAAAAGUUAUUAUUUUAUUACUAUGUACACUGCCUACGUUAAUAUACUAAUAGUGUGUCUUUACUAAUCAGUAAAAACUUUGGAAAUGAUGCACAGUGAGCAGCGACGGACCUAUGCUAUUUAUAAUCUGGGCCAUAGCUUAGGUUAAGUUUUUUCUUUUCUUAAAAUUAGUGUUAAUGUUUAAGCAUAUAUGAAGAAAAGUUGCUAGCAUUGUUAGUGUAAAAUAGGCCUUUUAAACAAAUAAAAUAAAAAUGAUAUGUUCUUAAAUUAAAUUUAUAUGUAUUUAUGAUUAAUUCUAUAAGCCUCCCUUAAGAGUUUAGUCAAGCCUCAAAUCUAACAGUCCAAUAAAGUAAAUCUAGCCCACCCCAUUUUAAAAUAUUGGGUCCGUUCCUGACAGUGAGGCACAGUGAGGUAUACCAAACACGCUCUGAAGGGUUACUUUGGAAAUGAUGACCCACGUUGAACGUGGGACCUGGUAUGCAAGAUUUGGGCUUGUCUGACACGUACUGUAGGGUUGGGAUUGGUGUGAUUAGGGGUGGAGUGAAUGGAUGGAGAUUCGGGGAUAAAAGAUUUGGCCAGUCGGUUAGUUGAUUCUUCUUGUCUUUGAUGGAACCCUACACAGACGGGGUAGAGGGAGCUUUUCGAUCGGCUUAUGAUUCCGUCUCCAACCUUAUGCAGUGAAGCUAGUUAUUAGUUAAUUUAUUAUUAUGUCACAGGCCAGCUUGCUACUUUUGGAACCUUCUAAAAUUCUAAAUUAGACAUGGCCAUGUUGAACCAUAUAUACAAGGAAAAACAAUCACAAUUUCAUCGGUUUUGCAGGAAAGGGGGAAUAUUCCAAUGCUGUAACUGGGGAGGACAGCUCACCAAUGUUCAUGCCUGUGGAACUGUAGCCUAAGGAAAGCCUCUUGAUUCCUCAUAAAUUGUCAAUGAAAACCAAUUCCAAGCUAGCCACCUAAAUAAGUCAAAUGUAGCACAAUGGAAGAUGCCCCAACCUUAGUUUCAGGCUGGGCAUGGCUUCCAAGCAUCAUUCUGGAUUUGAUUCUCGAAAAGUUGAUCCCAAUCUCUGACUAUAUCCGAUUUAGUGCGGUUUGCAAGCAUUGGCAAUCAGUCGCUUUACAUCGCAAGAAGCAGCGCAUCAAAUCAUGUCACAAGCAGAUUCCUAUGCUCAUAAUUCCCACCAUAGACGGUAGCAGCGAAAGGCGUGGCUUGUAUAGUGUGACACAAGGUAAGACUUGUAGCUUUGAGUUGAACGUGUAUUACAGUAAGAGGUUCUGUGGUUCUUCCCAUGGUUGGUUGGCCUGCGUGGAUGAGAAUCUGGUAGUAACCCUCUUAAACCCUUUUACUGGGCGUACCAUUAGCCUUCCACCAGUCCCCAAAUCCACUUGGAGAUCGACGUUAGCUUAUAGAUGUGAUUACUACAUUAAUAAAGUUGUAUUGUCUGCAGACCCUUCUUUUCUUCCUAAUGACUAUGAAGUAUUGGUCAUCUAUGAUGGCUAUGGGAAACAAAUAGCCCAUUUUAAAUCAGGGGAUGAUGCUUGGACUAGCAUAGAUCAAGUGAUCGGAUUCGAUGAUGUAAUUUAUUAUAAAGGCCAGUUUCUAGGUGUUAGUUUGGGUGGUAGUGUUUUUUCGAUGAAUGUUAGCAGGGAUCAAACUAUUAAACCCCAUGUAAGCUUACUUGUGCCAAUGGAUCCAGGCACUGACAAUAAAACAUACCUUGUGCAAUCAUCCCAGGGAGAUCUUAUGCUGGUUAGGAAGUUCAAACGAGUAAAUUAUUGUAAGCGGUUUACGAAGUCUCUCCACUUCAAAAUUUUCAAGUUUGAAAGGUUAAGGUUUGAACGAGUAAAUGGUUAUGAUCGUUUUACGGAGACUCUAAGCUUCAAGGUUUUCAAGCUGUUCUGUGCUCAUGGGGAGAGACCCCAAUGGGUUGAGAUUGAAAGUACUGGAAAUGAUGCUCUGUUUUUGGGUACCAAUCAAUCCAUGUGUGUCUCUGCGCUGGACUUUCCAGGUUGUCAGCCAAAUUCCGUAUACUUCACUGAUGAUUGUGUGGAUGUAGAAUGCCAUAAACCUAAAGGGCCUCAUGAUAUGGGUACCUUCAACUUGGAAAACAGAAGCAUGGGAACACAUUACUGCUUGGAUCGUUUGCAAAAGCACAUGCCACCAGCAAUUUGGAUCUUGCCCUCUAUGGUGUGAAAAGAUGGUUCCAGUUUUGUUCUUUCAAGCUCUAUUUUCAUUUGUUUGUAAUUCUAAAUGCAAGCUCCAAACAUCUCUUAUAAGGACAUUGAGCUUCCAACUCUGUAUAAGUAUAACCCUUGAAGAUGGUAAUAAAACUAACACAGCAACAUGUUCUUACACCGCAACGCAUUUUAGGGGAAGAACAGCUCUUGAGAUGGAUAAUGGAAGUUUAAUGUGAAUUGAAUUACAAGAGACGCAAAGUUUAUAUGGCAGUAGUCUAAUUUUCACGAAGUCUUUAUAUUCGAAUAUAGACGACUGUAUAUCUGUUGGGAAAACCAUACUCGCUAUUUAUAAUAGUAAAGAAAGAAAGCAAUUUGAAUGAUAUGUAGGAAAGUGGUGGAUGGCCACAUUUACAGAGAAAUUGGCUAACUGGGUUGCUGCUAAACAAUGUUAGCUGUGGGGUUCUUUAUUUUGGCUUACCACUACAGAGAAAACAAAACUUCUGAUAUUUGAUAUAUGACUUUUUGAGAUAGCAUAGUGCCACUUUGCUACUGAAUUUACUAUGUUGUAUGCUAGGCUGCCAGCUUUUUGAGAACUGUUUCAAAAAUUUGAAUCACAUUUAUAUCCAUUGACUUGUUGGUUGAUUCUUGGAAAAUAAAUGUACGGGUCUAUAAAUCCUCCUGAACUUCUGUCAAAGGAAACCGCCCAGAAUUCAGACUCUCUCUCUCUCUCUCACACACACACACACACUUAUAGCUCAUAUCAAACUCUCAAGUCUCAUGGACAGAACCAAUAGUAUACCUUUGCAGGGCCCAACCUGUGGAAACCUCAUCACCUAAAGAUUGAUAUUCAACCUGAGGCUCAGGUAGAAUAUCAAUCUUUGGGUCCUGUGCAUAUGCUCACUUAAAAUGUCUGCAAUAAUUCUAUGUCAAUAUAUCAUCAAGUGCUAAAUUAUCCAAAAUGUUUCAUCAUGUUGCAGAAACUGGAUAGUGAAGAUGCAAGAAUCGCCAACUAUUUCGAUGUGAUUGCGGGAACAAGCACUGCUGGUCCUGCUUACUCUUCCCCCAGAAACAGUAAUGUUUACAAGUUAAAUGUCAACUUUUUGUUAAAUAUUGAUACAGAACAUUGUUGUAAAAAUAGAUUCUGAUAUAAGCAUUAUUAAUUUUUUAAACAACACCUGUCCAGUAUUUUUUUCAUACUACAAAGAUUAUCAAAGCCCAAGAGCAGGACCAAAAUAAAAUGGAACGUGCCUACAUGAUGACUUGGUUGGGCAUAAACUUGGUGACAAAAAACUACACCAGACCAGACAGUAACUAACGUUGUCAUUCCCGCAUUUGACAUAAAGUCCUAACAAACUAGCAAUUAGAUUAGUGAUGCUUAUCUUCACAAUAUCCAAAUUCGAAUCUCAACCCCCAUCAAUUAAAAGAAAAAGCACUGUUGGUGGGGUUUGAACUCUUUGAUGUCCAAACAUAUAAAAGCAAACCUUUUGGAUAUUGAUAUACUAUGGGUUCCGGAUUGAGAUUUCAAAUUAAACUAGGAUUGACACUACAAGAAAAAUGUUUAUUAGUGGCCCGCAAAUUGGUCACUGAAUACAACUAGUGUCCAAAUAUUGGUGGUCACUGGGUGGUCACUAGAAGCUUGUCAUAAAUUCUAUUUAGUGACCAACUACAAGUAUUGGUCAGUACAACCCAAAGAAUUAGUGACUUCCUCUGUUUGGUCACUAACGAAAAAGGUAUUAGUGACUGCAACUUUGAUCACUAAAGGGCUAUUGGUCACUAAAAGUGGUUCACAUGACUAAAUUACUGACCUACUUCGUUGGUCAAUAAUGUAUUUGAAAAAUUCAUAACUAAUUGGCUUAUUUUCCCUCUUCUUUGUUGUGUAACAAUAUAUGAAAUAACAUCUAAUUCUUUUUCAUACAUAGUGCUGUGGAAACAAUUUUGAUAAUAAAAAAAAUAGUAUAAAAUAAUUCAUUGCAUUAAAAAAAUAUCAACAUUCUUCCACCAAAUUCACAAGCUAUCCAAAUUUGAACAAAUUCAAAUCCAAGUCUAGACAUGCAUCUCUCUCAAAAACAAACCUAGAUGACUCUACACCCCAAGCUAGAUAGGUCAAUUGAUCCAAAAACAUAAAAAUAAGAUUCACCACAGUUGACUGAUUGCAAGCGUUUGCUCUUCUGGUGGAACCUUCAAAAGCAAGCAUAUCAUCCAUAUGGUUGCAACUUCAACUCUUUUUCCAAUUGUUUACCAAACUAUGUGAUCCAUCUUACCUGCACCACCAAGUCAUGAAUUAAAAAAUGAAAAAGAAAAGGCAGCAAAAAUGUAAAGCAACUUACAAUGAGACAUUGUGGUGCAAUUGUUCAUAAGAUUUCGGUUGUUUCUCAUAUGAAGAGACAUUUUCAUCACUGAGAUCUCUUUUAGCAUAAGGAAUUUGGCAUUUUCAUGCUCUAUUUGGCAAAGCGACUAAAAGUAUCAUGAAAAUGCAUUAAUUACAAUCAAAACCAAUAUUCCAAUAUUGGAAUUUGGUUUCGGAUUGAGAUUUCAAAUUAAACUAGGAUUGAGACGCUUUAUGUGAUAGUUUUCUACGCGGUUUGAGAUUGUUGGGACUACUUCUGUAUAAAGUGGCAAACCCUAGGCCUGCAAAUACGUACAAGUUGUGCAACUAUUGAUUUUUCGAGUGUGACGAAAUUAACGAGCACUGUAUAUGGCGGAGGCAUAAUCAUCAACCUUUGAUUCCGGUUGGGCAUGGCUCCCAAGCCACGUUCUAGAUUUGAUACUAGAUAAGUUGAUACAAAUCUCCGAAGAUGUCACCUAAAGAGCGCUCAUCUUGAAUACUCUUCAAGUUAGGAUGAUUAAUGUAUUUUGAUCAUCUUGGGUUUUGUAACUAUAUUUUUGUUUGUGCUAUUUUGGUUAUACGUUAGUUGAACUAUUUUAGUUAUAAUUUUGUUAAACUAUUUUGGUUGUAAUUUGAUUAAACUAAUUGAUGCUUGUGGUUAUAUGCUUUUGGUUCAUUUGCAAUUUGAUUAUUGUUUGUUUACCGUUGAUUCUGUAAUGCAGCAGCAAUCGUGGUGCAAGUCCUGUUUGUUCAUAUUAAUAGUUCUCAAUUCCGAAUAUUAUAGGCGAUAUAGUAAUUUCACCUGAAACUUGUCUUAUGAGUUUUGGUUGAUUGGCAAUUAAUGUCACAAUCAAGCAUGUAUGAAGGUAAUGAUGUAAAAGAAGAAAAAAUUGAUGACGAAGAAAUAGAUGAAGACGAAAUAGAUGAAGAAGAAUUGGAUGAAGAAUUUUAUAGGAGAUUCGUUGUGUAUCACCAAGCAAACCUAUUAGUAUCAAAUUGGUCCUACUAUCAAAGUUUGUCAAUUUUAUUGUUAAAUUAAGGGAUAAAACCGUCCAUAUAAACUAAAAUAUUAAUAAAGUAAACCUCAUCUCAGCUCUCUGCUCUCCCUCUCCCCUUCCACCCAUUUCCCCCACCUCCCUUCUUUUUUUUUCUCCUCUACGAGGACAUAAGCAGCAACCAACACAACAUGACUCCGCCGUCUACGGUCCCACGUGGCGCCUCCUUAGCCUCAACCUCACCUGGUGGGGCCUGCAAAUGGGUUCUCAACAUCCUAGGGGAUUGGCUUGAAACAAAUUCUCGAUCCUAACCCAAAGGCAUCAUAGUGGUCGAGCAUUUGCAAUACGCUAUGUUUUGCUUGCUGGUUUUGAUGUGCUUUAGGGAUAGAUUGGAUGAAAACCAAAUCAAAUAUAUAUAGUGUGUUCAGCAUCCCUCGCUCUUGAGUUUUGGUCGAUAUCAUUUCCUCAAUUUUUUGCCCAAAUUAGAAUCUUGGGGCUUGGGACUGAGCUGUGGGUUGCGGGUGGGGAUGGAAUGGUCAGGUCAUGAGGGAGAAAAAGCAGAGGGGUGUGUGAGGGGAGGCUGAGAGGGGGGAGGUUGCGGAGUUGGGAUGCGAGGCAGUGUUUUUGUAUAAAUCUGGGUUUGUUUACUCUUUUAAACAAAUUUGUUAUUUUAUUUUUGUAUUUAUCUGAUUUAAAAUUUUUUAAUUAACUUAAAUAAUAGAGAAAUUUUUUAUUAAUUUUUAGGUCAAUCUCACGAGUGAAAAAAAAAAAAAAAAAGGCCAUGCGGCAGGUGAGAUUCAAUUUUAAAAAACUUUCUAAGUUUUAUAAUAGUUUCCUUUAAUUUUUAAUUAUAUAUUACUAUUUUAAUUCAUAGAGACAGUUUUACCCCUAAGUUUAAUGGCAAAAUUGACAGACUUUGACAGUAGGAUCAUUUUGAUACUAAAUAGAGAGUUUGAGGACUAUUGAAAUGAAAAUUCUAGUUGGUUGACUAGAAUGAGAUUGGAGCAAAAAUUAGGGGACCAUUUCAAUCAAUAACCCGACUAUAAUAUUAUAUAAGUUGUUAAAGCCUUUAGUUGUUGGAUUCCCUUUUGCAGAAGGUAUGUCGGUUCUUGUAAUUGACACAAUUGCACCUAGUUCUCAUAAGAACAUGGGUGUUAAGAAUUAGGAAAGUUAGUUUUAGUUUCCUUGUUUAUAUUGAUUGUAAUUGAUUUUAAGUAGUCUACAAGUAAUAACCUAGUUAAUUUUCUUUGUAAAUUUAGUUUGUAAACUCUGUAAAUUUAGAUGGGUGAUGGGAAUCGAAAUCAAUGUUAUUUUACAAGAUGUUUCGGAUCUGCUCACAAAACAGAGCUAUGACAAUUUCUAAACUUGAAAGGAACUUUGGGCUACUAACUAGCUUUUGUUUUAGCAGUAUUUUUAGUUUGAGGAGGUCUCAAAUUUGAUUCACAUGGAUAGCGAGGACAAUAUAUGUUCUCAAUGAGUUUGACACUUUUGUUGUGGCUACACUCAUAUUGUUGUGAUGUUGCUUUCUUUUAGGGCCAAUUUAGUGGGCAAAAUUAUAUGGUCGGAUGAGAUCAUAAUUCAUAAUUCUAAUCAAAUAUUUGAUGUGGCACUAAAUGAUUUUUAAUUUUCCACAAAAAUUGAAAUUUAAUGUACCAACACCAAUGUCAGAUUUUGCCAAAUUAUAGAGACCAUAAUCAUAAUUUACAAAAACAAAAAAGAAGAAAAAGCUAGAUGCUUGACUUGACCUCUUAUCCCUAAAAUGGACGUUGAGUUUCAGCUUAGAUGUUUCCAAUUUCAUGAAUUACAUAUGCUUUAUGGAACAUUUUUAUCUUUUUUUCAUUUUUAGAGGUUUCCAUUCCUUUGACCAGGAUACCCACUUAAUUUAGCUGGAAGAGCUACUAUAAUUCAAGCAGUUACAGCUUCUAUCCCUGUUUAUGCUAUGCAAACUACUAAACUUCCUGUUAGUGUCUGUAAUGCUUUAGAUCAGCUUAACCGUAAUUUCUUCUGGGGCAGCAGUGAGAAGAAAUAUAAGAUCCAUCUUUGUCAAUGGGAUUUGGCUUGUAGGCUUAAAGGUAAGGGAGGUUUGGGGUUUAAAAAGACUGCUAGUAUGAAUCAAGCUCUUCUUGCUAAGAUUGGGUGGAGAUUGCAUUCUAAGGACAAUGGUUUAUGGGCAAAAAUUUAUGAGGCUAAGUAUCUUAAAGGGACUUCUAUUUUUGAUAGUUCUCUUUGAGCAAGGCAGGUUUGCUCCACUACUUGGAGGAGUAUUGUUCAUGGUUUGCAGUUGCUUGUGCAAGGGGUGUGUUGGAGAAUAGGUCGGGAAGACAGUGUAAAAUUAUGGGAGGAUAAUUGGGUUACUGAUGUCCCUUUAAUGCAGCAGGCUGGAGUUCUCACCAUCCAUGAUAGCAAAUGUUAUGUUUCAAGUUUUUCCAAGAAUGGCUGGUGGGAUAUUGAUAAGUUGAGAGGUGUUCUUUGUGAAGACCUUGUUCAAUAGAUCAUUAGUGUUCCUGUGGGGUUUUUGGGCUCUUUACCUGAUACUCAGAUUUGGAAGGGUAGUGCUAAUGGCAACUUUUCUGUUAAAUCUGCUUAUAGUUUAUUCUUUGAAGGUUGUUCUACUCCUGACUCCUGCUGGAAUUCCUUGUGGAGUUUAAAUGUUCCUCCUAAGCUAAAUACUUUGUGUGGUUAGGUAAAAUUUUAUCUAAUGAUCAGCGUGUUUGAAGCCAGUUGGCUUCUGACCCUUCAUGUGGCUUUUAUUCUUGGCCUACUGAAACUGUUCUUCACAUCCUUCGUGAUUGUGAGUGAGCUCGAUCUACAUGGAAUGCUAUUCUCCCUGCCUAUGCUCAUCAUUUUUUCCAUUUACAUGCUCAGCCUUGGAUGAAGGUCAACAUGCUUUCCAUGGAGAAAUGGAAUGGUGAUGUUCCUUGGAGUAUUGUUUUUGUGUUUACUUGCUGGCAUUUAUGCUGUUGGAGAAAUAAGCAUGUUUUUCAGAAUGAGGAUACAGUCCUUUUCAGCCCAAGACAAGUUAUUUGUAGGGCUGCCCAAGAGUGGAUUAAGUCAACUUCUAAUCGCACUAUAAGGGUAAAUAAAGUUCAAAUUCAUGUUGCUUGGGAGCCUCCUAAGCCUGGACAGUUCAAACUGAAUGUGGAUGGUUCAAGGAGAAGCGUUAUUGGCUGCAUUGGUGCUGGGGGAGUCAUUUGUGAUCCUUUUGGUGACUGGGUAAGUGGUUUUGCUGUUAAUCUGGGAAAAUGUCAAGUUCUUGAGGCUGAGAUAUGGGGUCUUUUCUUUGGUUUGAAGUUAGCAAUUGAUAAGGGCAUCUGUAGUCUCAUUAUUGAGAUGGACUCAGCUAUUGCAGUCAAUCUCUGUCAGAAUUCUGCUAUGCUUGCUCUGCAUCCCUUAGCUGAUUUGGUUAGGAACUGUUGUGACCUUUGAGGGAGCAAAUUUCCCCACAAGAAUAUUCGCCCAAGAUUCCUUCGUCUUCUCCGCCUCUCUUUCUCCCUGCAAAACAGAUCGGAGUAAAAGACCACACCCGGGGGGUGUUGGCCAAAGGCCCUCCGAUGCCUAAGUUAGGUAGGGUAAUUCAAGGAAAACCGGGUGGCCGAAGCCGUGUGUGGUGGCUGGAGCCUUGAGUGAGAGAGAGAAAGAGAGGAGGUGGCUAGGGUUUUUGACAAAUAAUUUCUGCAGAGCUUUAGUAAGAAUUUAGGUGUACCUCAACCAUUGUGUGUGGCUAUGCUUUUAUAGUAGUCUCGGAAGCUAGGGUUUCAGAGGAAUAAUUCCGUAGAUGGAAGGGAAUUAUUCCUCCCUUUUUUGGAAUUGAUUUGAUUAAUUAGGGAUUUGAUUAAUUAGGGUAAAUCAAAUCCCUAAUUGUGGUAGGUAUCAAAUCAAAUCCUGAUUCAAUUAGGUAACUCCUCAUUUAAUUGGGAAUCGUGGUAAUUAACCAAAUCAAUUCUCAACCUAAUUAGGUAACGUUCAAUUUAAUUGGGUAAUUCCCAAUUAAAUUGAGUAACUCCCAAUUAGGUUGAUUAAUUCCCAAUUGGGUCAAAUAAUCCCCAAAUUGUAGGAAUUAUUUGACCUAGGGUUUGAUUUAAUUAGGUUCCCACAAAUGCCCCCCAGCUUCUACAUAGCGCGUGGUGGCAUGUAGGAGAUGUAAAUUAUCCGUUGGGCUGUCCAGCUGUAACUGGGCUUCCUUCAUGGACAUGGGCUCCCGAGUAAAAGAGGUGUUUGACUUGUGAACUGCUUGAGUAACCAGCCUAUGUUUUGAUUGCACGUCCUUCUUUAGAGAUUUGUGAGUACCAGGGUCCCCCUUGAAGGACUCCGGGUAUGCACUGCAUAUCCCGUAGGAUGAUUCCCCUUAGGAAGUUGGCGAGCACCAGAGUCCCCCUUGAGGGACUCCGGGUAUGUUCUGCACAUCCCGUAGGAUGAUUUCCCUUAGAAAGUUGGCGAGCACCACGGUCCCCUUUGAGGGACUCCGGGUGUGUUCUGCACAUCCCAUAGGAUGAUUCCCCUUACGAAGUUGGCGAGCACCAGGGUCCCCCUUGAGGGACUCCAGGUGUGUUCUGCACAUCCCGUAGGAUGAUUCCCCUUAGGAAGUUGGCAAGCACCAAGGUCCCUCUUGAGAGACUCUGGGUGUGUUCUGCAUAUCUAGUAAGAUGAUUUCCUUAGGAAGUUGGUGAGCACCAGGGUCCCCCUUGAGGGCCUCCGGGUGUGUUCUGCACAUCCCGUAGGAUGAUUCCCUUUAGGAAGUUGGCAAGCGCCAGGGUCCCCCUUGAGAGACUUCGGGUGUGUUCUGCACAUCCCGUAGGAUGACUCCCCUUAGGAAGUUGGCAAGCACCAGGGUCCCCCUUGAGAGACUCCGGGUGUAUUCUGCACAUCCCGUAGGAUGAUUCCCCUUGGGAAGUUGGCAAGCACCAGGGUCCUCCUUGAAAGACUCCGGGUGUAUUCUGCACAUCCCGUAGGAUGCCUUGGUCGUCGCCCUGCGUCUCCCGUAGGACGCUACUUAUGGGCAACUACAUGAUUAUCCUGCCUCCCUUAGGAAACGGAUAGGAACCUGGAUAUUUUCCGCAGGAAGCAUGGAUACCUCCUUUUAAGAAAUUCCUGGCGCACCCUGCGUCUCCUUUAGGACGUUUUUUUAGAAGGCUACGUCUCCAAACGGACGCGUUUUGUUGUCACCCUGCAUCUCCCUUAGGACGCUCUUUAUGGGCAACUGUGUGACUAUCCUGCCUCCCUUAGGAAACGGAUAGGAACCUGAAUAUUUCCCGCAGGAAGCAUGGCGACCCCUUUUAAGAAACUCCUGGCGCAACCUGCGUCUCCCUUAGAACACUGUUUUAGCUGGCUGCAUCUCCAAACGGACGCUUUUAGUCGUCGCCCUGCGUCUCCCUUAGGAUGCUCCUUAUGGGCAACUGUGUGACUAUCCUGCCUCCCUUAGAAAACGGAUAGGAACCUGGAUAUCUCCCCUAGGAAAUUCCUGGCGUACCCUGCGUCUCCCGAAGGACGCUGCUUAUGGGCAAAUGUUGUGUUUCGUGGGCAGAUGAGACAUUUUGGAAUGAGAAACUGAACUUAUAUUGAUAUUCAUAAGAUUACAAUCCUUUAUUCGAAAAUGGAAACAACUUAGCACAAAACAUAGAACUUCUAGCAGUCGGGAGGAGGCUCUACAGAUAAUACUUUCGAAGAUUGUGAGCAUUACAUUGUCGUGGUAUUUCCUUCCCCUCCAUAGUGUUGAGUGUGUAGCUUCCUCUGCCCCCAGACCGGCUGAUCAUGUAAGGACCCUCCCAGUUAGGAUUCAUCUUUUCUGACCCUUGCCUCGGUGCAGUAAUGAAAGCCUUUCUUAGCACGAGGUCGCCUGGUUGAAAUCGUCUGAUCUUAGCUCUUUUGUCGUGGUAAGACUUCAACUGCUGCUGAUAGGAGGCGACUCGGAUAAUGGUUUUCUCACACUCGCCUUGAAGAAAGUCGAGAUUGAGCCUCAUCUGCUCGGAGUUUUGAUCAACACUGCCCACUUCCAGACUUAUGGAGGGGACCGUGAUGUGAGGUGGUAUGAUUGCUUCUGUUCCAUAGGCGAGGGAAAAAGGGGUUUCACCAGUCGAUCUUCGUUUGGUGGUGCGAUAAGCCCAUAGUACUCCGGGGAGUUCAUCCACCCAUUUUCCUUCGGCGCCUUCCAGCCUUUUCUUCAAGCAGUCCAACAUGACUUUGUUAGAUGCCUCGGCUUGUCCAUUUCCUUGUGGAUACCUCGGGGUGGACAAGUGUUGCUUGAUCUUGUAUUUUGCAAAAAAAGGCGGUGAUCUGCUUACCAAUGAACUGUGAGCCAUUGUCGGUAACCAGCGACUGUGGGCAGCCAAACCGACAUAUGAUGUUUCUCCAGAUGAAUCGCUCCACAUCGGCUUCUUUAGUAGAGGAUAGAGCUUCGGCCUCAAUCCAUUUAGUAAAGUAGUCGGUGGCGACGAUCAUCAUUUCUUUCUUGGUGGGCGCUGGUGGCAAAGGACCCACUAGGUCGAUGGCCCAUUGCAUAAACGGCCAUGGACUGUUUUGCGGAUGAUAGACUUCGGCAGGCAGGUUAGGGAUCGGCUUGUAUUGCUGACAGCAAUCACACUUCUUGACAUAUUCAGCGGAGUCGUCACGCAUGGUAGGCCAGAAGUAUCCUAUGUUUAGAGCUUUCUGGGCGAGCGACCUACCCCCAGAGUGGUUGCCACACUCGCCGUCGUGAAUUUUGCAGAGAACCUCAAGUGUUUGAGAGUACUUUAUGCAGGUGAGAUGAGGGCCAGAGUAUGAUCUGCGGAUGAGCUUGUUGCCGUGCAUGUAGUAUCUCGCGGCCUUUUGCUGGACCUUUCUAGCUUCGGACUUGUCCGUUGGCAGGUUUCCAUUCGUCAAAUAGUCGAUGAUGGGGUCUUGCCAACUGGGGCCCUCGUCAAUCUGCAUGGUAUCGAUUAGCUCCAUUUCUUCAAUGCUUGGUCGGUCAAGGUGUUCGACCGGGAUAGAGCGUUUGAACUGGGUAUCCAGCGCUGAUCCUAGGCUUGCCAGUGCGUCUGCAUGAGCGUUCUCUGCCCGGGGCACUUGUUGGAUGGUGAAGAUGGGAAACGCCUUCAACAGCUCUUGGAUUUUGUCAAGGUACAAGAUCAUCCUUAGGUGCUUUGCCAUGUACUCACCUGAGGCUUGAUUCGUGAGCAAUUGUAAGUCUGAGUAGAUGGCUAGCUUUUUUAUUGCAAGCUCUUUUGCCAAGCGUAGGCCGGCUAGCAAUGCCUCGUAUUCUGCCUCGUUGUUCGAGGCCGGGAAGCCAAGCGUAAUAGCUUGCUCCAACAGGGUUCCAUCUGGAGUGGUGAUGACGACCCCUGCUCCAACUCCUUUUUGGUUCGACGCUCCGUCUACGCGCAACUGCCACAUGUCUCUGGGUUGGCUAGGUUCUACGGAGGUCCCGUCUGGUUUUGAACUUUCCUUCUUUUGGUUGACCAACUUCUCUUUUUCGGCUGAUGGGGUGAAUUCUACAACGAAGUCUGCUAAAGCCUGGGCUUUUGUUGCAGUUUUUGGCUGAUAGAGGAGGUCAUAUUGGCUUAGCUCUAUGGCCCACUUCAUGAGUCGCUGAGAAGCAUCAAGGCUGUGGACGAUUGAUCUCAAAGGAAAGUCGGUCAUGACGAUGACUCGAUGAGCUUGGUAGUAGGGUCGCAACUUUCUCACAGAAACUACAAGAGCCAAAAUAAGUUUCUCCAAUUUUGGGUAGCGAGUCUCUGCAUCGAUGAGAGCUUUUGACGUGUAGAAUACUGGAUGUUGGGCCCCCAGCUCUUCUCGGAUGAGAGCUGAACUGAUAGCUGAGUUGGACACUGCCAGGUAUACGAACAAGUCCUCACCAGGGACUGGCUUUGAGAGCAGAGGAGGUGAGGUGAGGUAAGUCUUCAGACUCUGGAAAGCUACUUCGCACUCCUCGUCCCAUUUGUUUUUUUGUCCUUACUUCAAAACUUUGAAGAAUGGUCUGCACUUGUCAGUUGAUCUCGAGAGGAAUCGGUUGAGGGCCACUGCUUUGCCCGUCAGACUUUGUAUUUCCUUCACCGUGGAGGGAGAUUUCAUCUCGAGAAUAGCUUUGAUUUGACGUGGGUGUGCCUCGAUACCUCGUUGCGUGACUAGGUAUCCCAAGAAUCGGCCGGAGGAUACACCAAAUGUGCAUUUACUUGGAUUCAACUUCAUGCGAUACUGGCGGAGCAAGCUGAAUGACUCAACAAGAUUUCCAAUGUGAUCUGCACAUUUUGGGGCUUUGACUAGCAUGUCAUCCACGUAGACCUCCAUAGUUUUGCCGAUUUGCUUCUUGAAGAUUUUAUUUACGAGCCUUUGAUAGGUUGCUCCGGCGUUCUUCAGCCCAAAGGGCAUGACCUUGUAGCAGUAGGUCCCUCUCUCGAUGAUGAAAGAAGUUUUCGCCUUGUCAUCCUCGUGCAUCAGGAUUUGGUUAUAGCCGGAGUAGGCGUCCAUGAAGCUGAGCAGUUGAUUGCCAGAAGUGGAAUCCACGAGUUGGUCGAUUCUCGGCAAUGGAAAGUUGUCUUUAGGGCAUGCCUUGUUGAGGUCUGUGUAAUCGACGCAAACUCUCCAUUUGCCCUUUUUUUUGUUUUGCCACCAAAACAACGUUGGCAAGCCAUUCUGAGUAGGAGACCUCUUCGAUGAAGCCGGCAGCUAGGAGCAUGUCAAUCUCGGCUUCGAUGAUAAGCAUGUCUGACUGCGACCAUGCGAACAUGUCUUUGUUGCUCUGGAGGAAUGUGGUAAGCUCCACCUUCUCUUCUGGGCUUAAGCGCGAGCCGAUCCGCGCUUUCCUGUCUGGCUGGUCAGGAUCCAAGGGUAUUCACUCGACGUCCUCCUCGGGUUUCCAUCCUUCUUCAGGAAAGACCUCUAGGCGGAUCUCCUCGGCUUGGUCCUAACGCUUUGAUUGCUAUAAGAUAACAAGAUUCGGUUGCUCAACCUCCUCCAGAUCUGCCUGGCUCACAGGGAGAAACUGCGCUUGUUUGCCUUUCUUAAGCCCUUGGGCGGAGCAUUUCCUCGUCAUUGCUUGAUCACUGUUGAUUUGGCCGACACCACCCUCAGGAAUUGGGUAACAAAUUUUCUGAUGUGUGGCGGAGGUGAUGGCAUUGAUCUUGCCAAUCCAUGGUCUGCCGAGGAUGCCGUUGUAGGGUAAGACCUCAUUAAUGACCAUGAAUGUUUGCAAGCUGAUCACAGGUGGGAAGUAAACGUCAAGGUCUAUCGUGCCCACAGUAAUCGUUGUUGCACCAUUAAAGCCAGUCAGCGAUUUGGCUAACUUGUUGAUCUUUAUCUCCAAGCCCAUCUGUUGGAUGACCGCUAGCUGUAGGAUAUUGGCUGCGCUGCCCUCAUCUGCAUGGAUUCGGUCGACCAUGGCCCGAGCGAUUUGAAUGCUGAUGACAAGGGCGUCGUUAUGCAGCGUGUCGAGGCCGAUCAGAUCUUUCUUUUGGAAGCCGAUCAUAGGAUCGUCUCCUGCUAGUGGAAGGUCGGUCGAGACUUGGGAGAUCACAGUGGCCUGUUUGAUCUUCCUCUUCUUUUCCUUGCUGGUCAGCCCAGACUCCUCGGAGUCGGCUAGGAUUGUGUUAAUCCUUAUGACCUUUUGAGGCGGCUCCUUGGCGGUGUCUCGAUCUUCAAUCCGUUGGAUGGCCUGCUUCGCAACGAAUUCAGUGCAGUGGCCUUCUCUCACGAGUUCUUCAAGAUGCGCUUUCCAAGCGAAGCAGUUGUUCGUAGUGUGUCCGUGCGUUCCAUGGAAGGCACAGUAUUUGCUAGUGUCCCUCUUGUCCGGAUCUCCCUUCAAGGGUGGUGGUCUUCUUACCCAAGGUUUGUUCUUCACUUGGGCCAAGAUUUGAUGUAUGGGGAUGGUGAACUUGGUGUAGUUCUCUCCUGCCGUAGCCUCCCCUUGUGGGUGCGACCUGCGCUUGUCUUUGCUUCGGUUGUUAAAUCCGUCGCCUCUUUGGCCUGCCCGCUUAGUUGGCUGAUCUUCCUGCUUUGUAGACUUCUUUGCGGCGAUUCGAUCAUCAUCCCAGAGCGCGUAGCGUUUCGCAGUCGCGUAGACCUCUACCAGAGUCUGGCUGGGAGUGAUAGUCAGCUCGCGGUACAAGUCGUGCUCAGCUGGAAGACCUUUCUUGAAAGCGGAGGACGCGAUUUGGUCGUCACAUCCUACAAUGUUCGCCUUUUCUGCCUUGAAUCUCUUGAUGUAAUCUCGAAAGGAUUCGUCAGACAUCUUGCGCAGGUUGUACAGGUGGUCAGGGUUCUUCUUAAUUGUCCGGUAAGAGGUGUAUUUUUUGGUGAAGACGUAAGCUAGCUCUUUGAAGCUGCUGAUCGACCUGGAUGGUAGGGUGUGGAACCGGUCUUGGGCUGCUCCUCGCAAGGUUAUUGUAAAUACCUUGCACAUUAGCGCGUCGUCAGCCUGGUGGAGGAUCAUAACACUUUUGAAGUGUUUUAAGUGGCUCUCGGGAUCGGAAUCCCCUUUGAAGUGUAUGAACGAGGGUGUCAAGAAUCGCUUCGGGUGAGCGGCCUACUCGAUAUCGAGGGUGAAAGGUGUAGAGCUCACCUGGUCCAUCUCCUUACGUAGUGAAUCCUCGAAGUUUCCUCCGGUCUUCAAGUCUCGAAGUCUGUCAUUCACGAGCUUCUCAACGUCUUCUGCGCACAUUGCUGGUCGGUUACGUUGACGACCUCCACGAGAUUGACUGACUUCCUCAUUGUCCUCCGAGGAUCGACCUUCUCGCCUGUGCUGCCUAGUUGGAGUGUUGGUGGACUGCGCCUGUGAAAGAUUCUAUGUAGCUUGUCGACGAGAAUUAGUUCUUCGAGAGUGAGUAACGGAGCGUCUUUCCUCAUGGUCCUCAUGAUAAGCUCAUAAUUUCACACAUUUGCAUGCCUUCUUUCCUUAAUAAUUUUUCUUAGCUUCUCUUUAUUUUGAGUCUCUUACCUAUGUUUGUGUGCUUUGUAGGUUAAGACAGCAAGGGGAUGACAUUUGAUACAAUUCAUGCAUGUUAAGGGCUGAGUGGCACAAGAGGAAUAUGUGCUUAAAGACAAAACCAAUUUGUGCCACACUCCUUGUCAGUCCAAUUUCGUAGGUCAUCUUGCAGGCCUCAUUUCAGUAACUUACACAGGUCGGAUGAGGAGACAUCCUUCAUAGAAGUUGUUCCAAUGGGUGUCUAUUAUAACAUCUCCACAUUUCAGCCUAAUUGCAUAAAUCUGGAGCCCUCAACACGUCAAAGAGUGAACCAAGUUCACAGAAAUGUCAUGUUGGCUGCCAUCACAUUUAAUGUGGCUACAUCACUAGAGCCAUGUGCUACACAUGGGCAGCCAUACAUGGGAGUCAAAUCAGCUCAGAAGCUCAGAAAGAUGAACAAAAGUCAAGCUUUCCAUAAAGAAACCAUACCAAAGCAUGUAUUUGUCAGCUGGAGCAGUUGGCAAGUAUGGGCAGCUGGAGCAGUUGGGAGCAGCUAAGAGAGGUGUGCUUCACCAGCCAAAGGGGAGCACGAAAUUUCACUCUAUAAAUAGAGAGUUGCACACUCAUUCAAGGGAGAGGGUCAGAUACACACAUUCACUUCAUCCAUUACUCUCAUACACACAUUCAGAUUCACCACAAAGAGAGAAGGGAGCUUGGAGCUGUCAAGGGAGCUUGGAGCUGUCCUAGGAACUUCCUUGCUGCCAUCAUCUAGUUGUUCUCCUCUCUUUAUCCUAUCUAUGUAUUUCUUAUUUUCUGUAUUCAUAGUUAUGUCUAACUAAUCCAUUUAGUUAGGGCUUAGGAUGAAGCCCUAGUCAUGAAUAUUCAAUGUUAUGGAUGAUUUUAUAGUUAAUUGAUUUCCUUGCUUUUAUUAUCAAGUUGUUAAUCUCCAGUUUAUUAUGUGCUUGAUGUAUGUUUUCUUGGAGUAGCUAACUAGGAUUUUAUGCAUCUAGCACAGGUUGGGAAGGGGUUUAGAUUCACCAAUUCUACUCUCCUUUCACAAGCAACACAUGAAUGGCCUAAGAAUCAUUCAAGGGGUUAAUAACCAUAGGUUGACUAGGACAGAUACCAUGUUCUAGGACUUGUGUGAUUAUCAUAUUCUCAAGGAGCUUAAUGACUCUUGUAUGCUUUAUUCUAAGUAGAUACCAUGCUUAGGUUGCAUAUUAGAGAUCACGUGUUGUGUAGAUACCAUGCAUAAUCACAUGCCUUAGGAGAAUCAUGCAUCCUGCACCUAGAUACCAUAGGCUUGUAUGCGAUGAUCUAUUGUUGAUGAAGCUUGAGUCAAUUUCUAUGCAUUCAUAACUUGGAUAGGAAAACUAGUGGUGGAUUCCAAGGCUCUAACACAUUUCAAUCAUUGUUUCACAACUUGUUGAUUGCUGCCAGUGUUUACUUUCGAGCACUUUCAUUUCACUUUCUUGUUUUCAUUUCAACAACAAAACCCC
rnacentral:lncRNA from 1 species